rnacentral:lncRNA from 1 species
AAGAAGAAGAGUAAGAUUCUUUGCUGUACUUGUAGUUCUUCAAUUCUUGAUGUUUUUGUCUUGUAUCUGAUUUGCUUUAUUCUGAACUCAUUCCUUUUCAGGACCCUGGCCUAGAGAGCGGCAAAGAGAGCCAAGGCGCCGGUGAUUGUCAUCGAGGACGAGCCCACCGCGACAGCAGGGGGCGCGCCCGAGACCACCUUGCCGGACCCGACAAUCAUUCCCCAAAGCAGCCCCCAGCGUAAGUAUAUAGUUUACUUCCCGCUGUUUAGGCGCGCAUGGGUGCCCUUUCUUUGCUGAUAUCUGUCUGUUGGUUUGUGCAGGAGCAGAGCAGCCUCACUAGGAGCGCCCGGAAGCCGCCCCCGACAUGACAUCUGCUUCGACUACACCGCCAAGGGAGGAUUCCCCGGCAAGGGGGCGUUCUCCGGCAAGGGAGAAGUCUCCGGCAAGGGAUAGUUCUCCGGCAAGGAACAGCACCAGCGACCCCCCGGUGGUGGAGCCCAUGACUGAAGAGCCCAGUACAGGUAACCCUCUUGCUUGAAAACUUCCCUUGAGUUCUUCUUCUUCUAAUUUUCUUUUUGGAUAUUCGCUUGACUCUUCUCCCUCUUCCGGCCUUCAGAUCCACCUGUCACGGAGUCGAUGGAGACCGAGGUCGCCGGCAAGGAGAACACGUGCGGCAAUACCGACGACGCCGCUGCCACCGAAGAAGCAACUGACGCCGACGAUCCCGCCGGCAAAGAGGCCGCCAAAGCUGCCGCCGCAGGAGCCGGCGAGGGGUCUGGCGAUCGCACUAACGACCCUGAGGCCACAAGAGUGCAAGGCGCUACGCCGACCGCCGAUCCCUCCGCCGCUGCCGCAGCGUCAGGCUCCGAAGAGCCCCAGCCCGACGCCUAUCUGAAGGCCAGCGAUGGCGUACUCAUCAAGCUCCCCUGGGCGUCAAGCUCCAGGGCACCGGUCGAAGGAGAAACUUUUGAUGGAGAGGUGCUCGCCUCCGCUGGGCUGACGCUGGUUGACGCGCCGAGCAGCAGCAACGACGAGUCUGAGGAGGAGCGGCUGCUGUGGAAGCUGGUGUCGCUCUACCGCGCCCGGCAGGCCAAGCUGGAAUCCCGAGAAGCGCUUGUCGCUAAGGCGGGAGUGGACAUCGAGAAGCACACGGAGGAGCUCCAGGGUCGUAACCAGGAAGCUCUCCGGUCCUUGGCAGAGGAGCGGGCACAACUUGCCGAGGCGCGGAAAGCCUUCCUCCUCGAGAAGGCUGAAGCUGAAGAGCAACAACGGCUUGUUGCCGAGGAGCUGUUUGCGCGGGAAGGUGAGUUGGCGCAGCGGAAGGUCAAUCUUGACAGCCAUGAGGAGGAGCUUGCCGCGCGUGAGCAAACGUUCGGCGGGGCUCUCAAGGAGGCAAAGGAUGCUGCCGCAGCUGCCGAGGCCGCCAAGAAGGAGCUGGAGACGAAGGUGGCGCAGCUGGAGGCCGAUCUCAAGGCGAGGGGUGAAGAGCUCGCCGUGCUCAAGCACGAGCGCAAGAAGGACGCCUACACCCUUGGCAAGCUGCAGGGUAGUCUCGUCGAGAAGGGCAAGGAGCUUAGCGCCGUCAAGGAUUCCAACGCAGAUCUUGAGCUGAAGCUGACUACUUUGACCAAGAUGCUGGACGGCGCCAAGGAGCAGGAGGUGUCCUUGAAGGAGGAAAUCAAGGCCAACGAAGCGCUGCUGACGAGGGCCGCCGAAACCCAGAACACUUUUAGGGAGACUGUGGAACUCUGGACAGAGGGUCUCAUGAAUAUCGCUGCAGUUAUUGACGGGGAGCUGGCGCAGCUGGGGAUGGAGCAUCUCGGGUGCUCCUCCGACGAGAACCUCCAACCCAGCACCAAGCUCACCUUGUUCUUCAAAUGCGUGGCGACGGACCUCCAGCGACUCCGGGAAAGGAUCCAAAGCAGCUGGCCGACGAGUCGCGCGCGAUCUGCGCGGGAGUUGUGCAAAAGGUGUUGGUGAAGGUGGCCUUCCGCAACCCAGGCCUCAACCUCACCAACGUCCUCAAGAAGCUGCCUCCGGAUGCUGAUCUGGAUGAGCUCAAGGCCCUUGUCGCACCCAUUGUGGACAAGGUGAACGAGGUCAAGAGGGUUGAUGGCGACCGCGUAGACUAGGCCGCCCGUUUUCUUCUUUUCUUGUCGCUGCUGGACAUGUUACGAGAACAAUCUAUUAGAGUUGCGACAAGCUAUCUUGUAAUAUAACUUUAUUUUGGGUAUCGAUUGCUAUGUUAUUUCCUUUACUUGACUCCUUCCUUUGUAUGUUUUUGCCCUACGCUUUUAGGGAACUUGCCGGUACAGGCACCAUAGCCGCGAGCGCUAAGUGCGGGACGUCAGCAGCCUGCUGGCGGUGCCGCUAUCGACAAGAAACCUUGUCGCAACUAGCCGCAACUCACUUAAGUUGUUGAGCGGACUCGAAACAAAGUAAGGGCGCAACUAGUUACGAGUUGGUUCCUCCGCGCACAGGUUUUCCGUACAAAGCACGGUCGUUCGAGGAAGAUAACUUAAAAUUUUUUAAAAUUGAUUGCUCAAACUUUGGCAAGUUAGAUUUUCUGUCGUUUGCUUCCCGGUAAGGCGAAACUUUCUUGAACGACGCCUGGUCCACAUCAUUAUCUUCUCCUUUCCCCCCGGCAAACUUGUGUGCGAGGGAACCUUCCCUUGAGAAAAAGAAAGAAGAGAAAAUAAAGAUAUGGAGCCUUAUGGCUUGUUAUUGCUUACCGGGGGUAGGUGCUGCACAAAGUGUCAUAUAACACAUGCAAAAAAUAGGAAGCAUGAAAUUGACAAGAUGUGCGGAGCACAUGAGCUUUAUUUAUGCACGGGGUCUGCGCCCGGCUUUGUACAAAGAAUUACAUGCAACAGCGGCAAGACUUGUACAAAAGGUGGUUGCCGGAACAGGUUCCGGCAACCGCGCCUUACGGGUAAAACUUACGAAGAUGCCCAUUGUUCCAGGAGUUGCUCACCGGAAAGCCAUCUUCGGUCUCAAGGCGGACAGCGCCAGGCCUAGUGACUCGUUUCACCCGGUAAGGGCCUUCCCACUUCGGCGUCAACUUGUUGGAAUUCUUGGCGGACUGAACGCGCCGAAGAACAAGGUCGCCUUCCUCGAGACUUCUGGCAUUAACUUUGCGGCUAUGGUAGCAGCGCAAAGCUUGCUGGUAUCGAGCAGCUCGUACAGCAGCCUGAAGACGGUCCCCCUCAAGGAGCAGCGCGUCAUCUUGUCGCAGCUGCUCUUGCUCAAGCUCAUCAUAAGCGAGCACUCGAGGUGUCCCGUAUACGAGUUCCGUGGCUCGAUAGACUAGAGCGAAAGGUGUCUGGCCAGUGGCUCGAUUUGGCGUCGUUCUGAUCGACCAAAGAACCACCGGCAGCUCCUCAAUCCAGUUCUUUCCUCACUUGCGCAGCCUGUCGAAAGUCCUGGUCUUGAGCCCGCGCAGCACUUCAGCAUUUGCCCUCUCCGCUUGACCAUUGCUUCUCGGGUGAGCAACAAAAGCGAAGCAGACCUUGGCCCCAAGAUCUUGGACGUACUGCAUGAAGGUGCGGCUCGUGAAUUGCGUGCCGUUGUCGGUGAUGAUCCUGUUAGGGAUCCCGAAACGGCAAACAAUCGACCUGAAGAACUUGACUGCUGACUGUGCUGUCACCUUCCUCACUGCUUCCACUUCCGGCCACUUUGUGAACUUGUCGAUUGCAACAUACAAGUACUCAAAGCCCCCGACAGCUCAGGGAAAGGGGCCGAGGAUGUCGAGCCCCCAGACCGAAAAUGGCUAGGAUAAAGGGAUCGUCUGGAGAGCUUGAGCUGGCUGGUGUAUCUCCUUGGAAUGGAACUGGCACGCUUCACACUUGGUUACUUGUUCUGUUGCAUCCUGGAGGGCUGUCGGCCAAAAGAAACCUUGCCGGAAUGCUUUGCCGGCAAGUGCUCUUGCGCCAAUGUGGUGACCACAUAUGCCUCCAUGUAACUCCGCCAACAGCUUUUGUCCGUCUUCCCGGGAAUACACUUCAAUUUCACACCGUUGAGUCGUCGACAAACCGGUACAUACUUGACUGCCGGGCUACUCUUUCCGCUUCUUCUUGCUCUUCGGGAAGUUCUCCUGUCUGAAGGAAACGGACAAUCUGUUGUGCCCAUGCUGGAGCUUGCGGCUCGACAACAAGGACUAAAGGCACAUAUGCUGCUGCGGGAACAUCCGCUUCUACGGCGAGAACCUGCGGCUCAGCCGGAGCUUGACGUUCCUCGGCAAGCUUGCCGGAGCAAAACUUGUCGGGAGCGUCUGCUUCAACGGAACAAACCCUAGGGCUUGCCGGAGUAGACUGCUCCUCAGCACCCUUGGUGUUGAUCUUGGGAACCUUCUUGGCAGUGGCUUCGGGGAGCUCUGCCGGAAAAUAGUCACCAGAAAUCAACUUCCUCUUCUUGCUCUGUCCAGUUGAUGGCGUUACAGACGGCUGAGUCAGUUUGAGCACAAAAAUCCCUGGCUCCAUAGGUAACUUAAGUGUGGCGCACUUCGACAGGCCAUCGGCAAUGUCGUUCUGAGCUCUUGGAACAUGUUCCAUCUGUAGGCCGUCAAAGUGCUCUUCUAACUUUCUCACUUCAUCAACGUAAGCUUCCAUCAACGGACUCUGGUAAUUCUUGUUCACUUGGCGGACGACAAGCUGCGAGUCACCCCUGACAAUGAGCUUCUUGAUCCCAAGGUCUGCUGCGAUCCUGAGACCGGCAAGCAAACCUUCAUACUCUUCGGUGUUGUUUGUUGCUUGCUCCUUGGGAAAGUGCAUCUGUACUACGUACUUGAGGUGCUCUCCGGUGGGCGCGACAAGCAGCACGCCCGCACCGGCGCCUUGUAGCGAGAAGGCACCAUCAAAGUACAUGAGCCACUCUUUGCUUGUUUCCUUGAUGGGGAUGCUCGUUUCUAGAAUUUCUUCAUCUGGUGUUGGCGUCCACUCUGCUAUCAAUUCUGCCAAUGCUCGGCUCUGGAUAGUUGAAGUUCUCUCAAACUUGAGGCCAAAGCUUGAUAGUUCCAGUGCCCACUCGACAAUCCUGCCUGUUGCUUCUGGAUUCUGCAGUAUCCUCUUCAGCGGAAAACGAGUGACAACUAUGAUCUCAUGUGCUUGGAAGUAAUGGCGCAGCUUUCUCGAGGCCAUGAGAAGGCCGAAAAGCAAUUUCUGCACACCAGAAUACCUUGACCUAGCCCCCUGCAGAAGGGAACUGACAAAGUAAACUGGGCGCUGCACCAUUCUCUUCUGCAUCUCCUCAUGUGCCUGCGCAGAUCCACCCUUGUCGGGACCAGAGCUUGUCGGUGAAGUCUCUUGCUUGUCGCUGGAUGCGUUUGCCGUGGUUGCUGGCUCAUCAUCCGCCUCCCUCUCUGCUACUAACGCAGCACUAACCACUUGAUUGGUUGCCGCUAUAUACAGCAGCAACUUCUCUUGUGGCUUAGGUGCGACAAGUGUUGGAGUGGAGGACAGGUAUCUCUUUAAGUCCUGUAGUGCAGCCUCCGCUUCCGGAGUCCAUUUCAUUGGACCUGCCUUUUUCAGUAUUUUGAAAAAUGGCAGGGCGCGCUCAGCAGACUUAGAGAUAAACCUGCUGAGAGCAGCCACGCAACCGGCAAGCCUUCGCACAUCCUUGACGCGCUUUGGUGCUUCAAUCUGCUCAAUGGCCUUGAUCUUGUCGGGAUUGGCUUCAAUUCCCCGCUGAGACACGAAGAACCCGAGAAGCUUGCCGGAGGGGACUCCGAACACACACUUCUCGGGAUUAAGCUUGAGGUUGAUCUUGCGCAGAUUUGCAAAGGUUUCGUCUAAAUCUUGAAUCAGAGUUGCUUUGUCCUUGCUCUUGACCACUAUGUCAUCCAUGUAGGCUUCCACAUUUCUGUGUAUUUGUGGCUCAAAAGCGUGAUGGACUACCCUGGCAAAUGUUGAACCAGCAUUCUUUAAUCCGAAAGGCAUCCGUAUGAAACAGUAUGUGCCACAUGGAGUGAUGAAUGCGGUCUUCUCCUCAUCCUCUUCUGCCAUGAAGAUCUGAUGGUAUCCUGAGUAUGCGUCAAGAAAUGAAAGCAAGUCACAUCCGGCUGUGGAGUCAACAAUCUGGUCAAUGCGCGGCAAGGGAAAUGGGUCUUUGGGACAAGCUUUAUUAACAUCGGUAAAGUCGAUACAAAGCCUCCAUUUCCCGUUUGCCUUGCGCACGACUACAGGAUUGGCCAACCAUGUAGGAUGGAGCACUCCUCUGACAAGGCCUGCUGCUUCCAACUUCUUGAUUUCUUCUGCGAUGAAUUCUUGGCGCUCCACUGCUUGAUUCCUGACCUUUUGCUUGACGGGCCACGCAUGAGGACAGACGGCAAGAUGGUGCUCGAUUACUUUCCUGGGAACACUGGGGAUGUCAGACGGUUGCCACGCAAACACGUCGACGUUUGCCCGCAGGAAAGCAACGAGCGCGCUUUCCUAUUUAGGGUCGAGAGUGGCACUGAUGGUGAAGGUACCACCAGUGCCGUCCUCCUUGGCGGACACCUUUUUCGUCUCUGGCGGAGCUGCCAUUGCCUUCUUACACUUGCCGGUGGAGCUCGAUGGUGCGUCCUCGACGGUAGCGCAGCACUCCGAAGAAGUGCGCUUGUCGGAGUGGGCAUCAGAACUCUUGUCGGACUUGGUCUUCUUCUUCCCCCCGGGAGCUUUAGCGGCAAGUGACUUGCGAUCUGCUGCGGCUGCUGCUUCCCGGUAGAUCUUGUCGGCGCAUAUAAGAGCAUCCUUCUUGUCGCCAGGGACAGAAAUGACACUUAUCGGGCCUAGCAUCUUGAGCAUGCUGUAUGCAUAGUGAGAGGCUGCCAUGAAUUUGGCGAGUGCUGGACGGCCGAGUAUCCCAUUGUAAGGCAAUGGAAAAUUAGCAACGUCAAAAGUGACCCUCUCAGUCCUGAAGUUCAACUCGCUGCCAAAUGUCACCGGCAACGUGAUCUUUCCCUUCGGCUUGCUCCUUCCCGGAUUGAUUCCUUGGAAUGUGCCGGUCUCUUCGAGCUCGCUGUCAGGGAUCUGGAGUUUCUGGAGUACCGCAGAGGAGAUCAGGUUCAAGCCGGCCCCGCCGUCAACUAGCAUCUUAGUGACCUUGAGGUUGUGGAUAGUUGGUGAAACCUACAUCGGCAAGCACCCGACCGCAGUUAUGCGAUCAGGGUGGUCCUCAAUAUCAAAGAUGAUAGGCGUGCUGGACCAUUUCAGAGGUUUGCGUGACUCGACGGGAGGUUCUGCCGCAUUGACUUCCCGUACCCACUGCUUGAGCUGGCGGUGUGAAGUAUGCAGAGAAGCACCGCCGUCAACGCACAGGACCUCUGUGGCUUUCUGGAACUCCUGCUCAUCGGCCUCGUCAUCAUCCACAUCUUCAUCUUCGUCGUCAUCUUCAUCCUUGUCGCGGCCGCGGGGAGGUCUGUCUCCUUGCCGCUGCUUGGCCUUGCCGUGGCGUCCUCCUCGGCCGGGACGUUUCUUGCCGGAUCCUCCAGCACCUUCUUGGGCCUUCUCCUUGUCGCGUCGCUCGUAUUCAGCCUUUUGCUGCUCAACAAGCUGCUCGACCUUCUUGCAGCUCUGGAGGUCAUGGCCCUUGGUGCGGUGGAUCUUGCAGUACUGCUUGUUGGUGCUGUCCUGCUUGUCGGCGACCGCCACAGCCUCCUCGCGGGAGCUACCAGCUUUGGCUUUCUUGGCGCCACCUCCGUUGCCGGACUGCUCGACAACUAGCACAUCUUUGCCUCUCCUUUUCCUGUUGUUCCGCCGCCGGUUUUUCUUUGCCGGGGAAGCAUCCUCGCUGUCAGAUCCUCCUGCUCCGGUAGUCUCUCCAGGGAGUUUCCUCCCUUCCUCAGCACGUGCACACUUGUCGGCCAGGGCAUAUAGCUCACUGACGUCUCUGAUCUUGCACAUCGCCAUCUCCUCCCGCAUCCUGCGGUUUCGCACGUUCUGAUGGAACGCGCUGAUGAUCGCUGCAGGGUGGACAUCUGGGAUGUUGUGCUGUACACGGUUGAAUCUCUGAUUGAACUUGCGCAGGGACUCUCCUUCCGUUUGGGCGAGUAGAUGAAGGUCACUUUCUUGGCCAUGAGGCUUGUGGCCGCCUGUAAAGGCGCCGACAAACUGAUGGCACAGGUCUGCCCAGGAGGAUAUGGAGUUGUCCGGCAAGUGCAUGAGCCAGGACCUAACAUUGGGCUUGAGCACCAGCGGGAAGUAGUUGGCAAGGAUCUUGUCGUCCCGCCCCCCGGCAGCUUGCACCGCGAUGGUGUAGAUGCCGAGGAACUCCGACGGAUGCGACUUGCCGUCGUACUUCUCUGGUACAUCUGGCUUGAAAUUCUUCGUGCUGGGCCACUGGACUUGCCGCAGCUCACGAGUGAACGCAGGGCAACCUACCGCGUACGGCAAGUCGCCUGGUUCCCCUGGCGCAUGCAUGUCGACAGCGGGCCCAACGCGCUGGUCCGAUUGACGCCGCGCUUCUCUUCGGCGCUCGAUGCGAGUACGAGCGUCUUCUUGCUGUCGUUCGUGAAGAACUUGGCGCUGAUCGCGACGAGCUCGUGGAUCUGAUGAUGCGGUGGAGUCGCUGUCGAGGUGGAUCCGGCGAGUCGGCGAUCUUGGCCUUCGGGGCGGAGAGUGCACGGUGGUUGCACCCCCACCGAUCUUGUCGCCAUCGGCUCGUGCCUGGCAGUCUUGUUGCAGCUUCGAUGUACUCGGCUGCCGUGGAGUGUCGCCGUUGGCGAAGCUGAUGAGACUCUGAAUGGUGGCCCUCCAUUUGUCGAUCUUGUCUGUCAUUGGAGGGUAAUCCAGGAGCAGUUGAGCUCGGGCCAACGCUUCUGCUGGAGUCUUCGGUGGCGGCGGCGAACGGUGCUAGGAGCGGGAUAUGCUCGGACUUCCAACUAGGUUGGAAGGAGCAGUACCCCGUCCAGGCGACCGUGUCUUGCUCGUGCCAGCAUGUUGGCGUGCAUGCUGGUCUUGAGCACCCCGAGAUCCACCGGCUCGGUCUUGGUCCAACGAACGUAUGGUACCGCGAGUACCAUGACGCUGUCGGUCCCGCGCCUCCUGAGAUGGGCGCGGUGCAUAUACGGACGCCGAGGUCUGCGCAGCCUUGUCCUUGGACCUGGCAGCACCGUGAGCUCCCUCGUCGAUGCCCAUUCUUCCGCCGGCGUCUACCCCACCACCCGCUUGCUCCGGUGGUGGUGGGAUCGACGUGGACGGAGCAGCCACCUCCGAAGCCUUCUUCUUCGGUGGCAUGUUGAUGAAGAAGAUGAAGAUCUAGCUCGCGUGAACGCUGGAUCAGGUUCACACAACCUCGACACCCCCUACCUAGCACGCCAAAGAUGUCGUGGGAACGAACACCUAUGGGGCCGGCGGACCGAGCCCCUUUCGGUUCGGCGGGGGGCGGAGGUCGCACGAAGAGCGGAUCGAGGCGAAGCACACGAGCGGUUUACCCAGCUUCGGAGCUCUCCGGAGAGAUAAUACUCCUACUGCUGCAUGUCUGGUUGUAUUGUGUUCUUGCUCGGGAGCGCUGGAUGCUACAGUACACCCCAGCCGCUAACGAGACCGAGCAUGAGUGUUUUCUGGCUUCCAACCCCUUUCUACGUUGCGCAUGGGCCUCCUUUUAUAUGCUCAAGGGGUCACCGAUAGGUGGCAACGUAGACAAGGGUAAAAAUGGAAAAGAAUUGCGGUUGGCACAACUACUUGUACAGUGUAUCAUACCUAACCCCGACGGCAGGGGACAAAGGCAUUAAAUGCCCGUCUGUGUCGCCCAAACAGUGCAAAAAGGGACCGUCAGGGGCGCCACCGCUCGCCACGAUGGCAAUCUUGUCAGCGUUGCUUGCCACCUCGCACCGCUGGCUGCACAGCUUCUUGCCACGCGUGCCUGGAAAGGUCCCAGGGCGACACGUUGGUGGAUGCGCUGGAGCGCGGGUACAGGGUGGUAGCUUGCCGCGGCAAGCGCCUUCCGCGGUCGCUGUCUUGUCGCGUCCGGAAGCUUGUCGCUCACCGGGCCUUGCCGGGACGCGUGGCGCGUCGCGGCAAGUUCCUCGAAAUGCCUUGGUCCACUACAAGAAAUAUGUCAACUUAUGACCACCACUAUUGGUCACUGAAAGGUCACAAAUUUCCAUUUAUGAAAUUUUUGUGACCAAAAACAGAAGGUCAAAAGCUAGCCGUCGUAAACUGACUAUAGCGACCUUUAACAAAAGGUCGUUGAUCCUAUGACCUUCUGUUUUGGUCACUAGCUCUCUAUCCAGACCAUGUAGGCAUCCAGCGUGGCAAUCUAACGUGGCACAAGAUUCAGCCCGGUCCAAUUCGAUUUUCUACAUGGGCCUAGCCCAACAAUUCGGCAUUUUUACUUUAUAUUUUCUCUAGCUACAUGGGCCUGGCCCAACAAUUUGGCCUUUUUUAUUUUGGGCCAUGGCCUUUUUUAGGACCAUUUCAUUAAGCCUAUUUUUCUGCUUUUUCAGAAAUGCACAAAGUUCUGAUCCACUAUAGUUUGGGCCGCAGCCUUUUUAGAGCCCAAAUAUUAUUUUGUCAAGUAGAACAUUUAGUAUUUUUCAUUCACAGAUUUCAAUUUACACAUUUGAACAACAAAAUAUCAAUAAAUCUUUCUAUUAAUUGAUUAAAUCCAAAGAUCAUCCAGUCAAAUACUCACAAGAGCAAAUACACGUAUGCAUGUCCAACUUCCACAUACAAUCAAAAACAGAUACACAAGGGUGGCACAUCGCCAGCUUAAUUCCGACAAGGCCACGAUGGUGGUAUCUACGAUGUGCGGGAGAAACGUUCAGGACAUCCUCUUCCUCUUCUUGUCACCUGCGUUCUUGAGCUGCAAGAGGACACAACACCAUUAAGCAUAGUUGGUCAGACCAUAUUGACAGGAAUCACAAAUGUUGGCACCCAGUGUAUACUAUGUAAGUGCUGGUAUAUUUUUACUAGCAAAACCAUCACUAAUGUGCAUGCAUGCUUGGUUUAUAAGCUUCAUCCAUAUAGUUGGCACCAUCACUGUAUAUUGUUGCUACCGAUGUACACAAGUGUGCACAUACACAACAUGCUGCAUGCAUACGCUCGCAUGCCAGUAUAAAGCUGCAUCUCGAUGCUUUUCAUUGCUGAUCAAGAGAUUGUAAUAUUUUAAUAAUCCACAUAGCUACUCCUACCUAGGUAGCUAUACAUAGGUGUACUAGCAGCCAGCCCAAAGGCGAGUUAAUCAGUAAUAAAACAUACACUAGGUAGCCAGCUAUGUCCUAUCCUAGCAGCAACAAUGACUUUUGUUUGUCAUGCGUGUAAAGAAAUGCAUGCAUUUCCAGUAAAUAUAAUGUAUGCAUGCUGCCAUUGGCCUAGACCACACUAGAAGAAAAAUGCUGCAGCGACCAUUGGCCUAGACCACAAGGGCAAACAUGAUAUUGCAUCCCAUGAGGCAUGGAGGAGGAUCUCUUACCAUGACCAUAGCAGCACUUCAUCUUCACCUUGUCAUCCUCACCGUUUUUGCAUAGACUUCUCCUGGAGCCGCUCAAAGGCGUUUCCAGCUUCCCGCUCGUCGACUUGCCGUGCUUGCGCCGGAUCUGCUGCUCCUUGAUUGAGUUCCACAGCUUCUCCACCGCCUCCCGCUGCCGGGCAUGAACCGCCCCAUGUUGUCGUCUGCAUGCCACCCCAGGAUGUCGAUGGUCAUCUGCGUCCUGACAAAACCAAGCCACAGCAAACUGAAUUUCUGACAAAACCAAGCCACAUUGAACUGAAUUUUAGAACAAUAGACAAAAUAUGUGGCAUGCAUAUACAUGGGGCGUGCACAGGUCUGUCAGAUGACUCACCACGGUAUCCUGUAGCGCCGAGCAGCAGUCUCGAGGCACUUCAGGAGGGCUUUGCGCCGUGACUUCAUCGUUAUCAUCGUCCACUGUUGCCACUGCUAGGGCUGAGAUGGCAUCUUUGAUCUUCCCUACAGCCUUUGAAAACUACAGAAUAAGACACCGGUCCAUUAGUGCAAAAUACACAAGCCAAUUAAGCAUGUUCCUCCAAUAUUAUGCAAUCUCAAAUGCAAACAGGUAACAACACCUAUUUAUAUGCAUAAACUAACUAAGAUUUUCUAGCAAGAUAGAUGGCAGCACAGUUGACCUUGAAGGGCAGUAAGAAAUUUCAUCAUCUUAUCAUUGGUCCGAGAAUCAAUAUAGUGUAAAAUUUCUGAGAAAAAGAUGCAUUUUUUAGAGACAAGAUAGUGUACAAGAACAAGACACGGUCUGUAGAUUAGCCAAAGUGAGAUGGGUAUGAGGUUACAACAGUAACAUGAUGACACACAUUUGAGGUUACAGUACUUCCCUCACAUCUCAUAGCUAAUAUGUGACCAUCACCGACGACCAUAAACAUUGGUUUUAGCCCCAAGCCACCAACUCACCAAAAACAGCAAGACAAGAUGGCUUGGGGCUAAAACCAGUAAUCAAUCGUCUACACGUAUAUAUCUAGUCAAUAAAGUAUCUACUACACAAGUGCAUACAGUACUCAACAUCUACUACAAGUGCAUACAGUACUCAACAUUCACUCAAAGUAUGUUGUGCAGGAUCACACCAUUCCAUUUUCAAUCAAAGUACAAUAGUACAUCACAUUUUUGGAUGAUCACCAAAGGCAAAACUACUCCUGACUAUGAUCAUCAACAUCUACUACUGCUAACUACUCCAUGUGCAAUCCUACUUUGCACUAAAACAUCCUCACCCUCCAUUCACCCUGUUCAAGCAGUACUGUAGUAAAACUACUCCUAAUGCUACAGCAGUUAACAGCAAGUUAAAUUACUGUGAUGUGCAAAAUUUACAGUAAAUACUCCGCUGAAUAUUACUGAAACUUAACAUAAGUUCACUAAGCUUUUUCAAUUUCAGAAUAUACAAGUCAGAAAAUAAGCUUGCAAGCUAGUUUAUGUAAGUAAUGCACACUGGAGUACAAUACUUCUAUGGAUUUCUGGAAAUAAUUCAUGAUUUUCUAACUAAUCCAAGAUGUCCAUUUAAUUAACUGGAAAAGUAAGUUAAAUCUUAUUGAAUCUUGUUAAAUACUCCAAGCAAAAUUACUCCACACAUGUAUAGUUCAAUCUUGUUAAAUACUCUAAGCAAAAUUACUCCACACAUGCACAUGUCUCAAGGAACUAGCAGCGCUGCUUGCUCCCUUGGUCCGGCUCCUUGCUGUGCGGGAUGACUGAGACUCGGAUGCAGAGCGAGCUCCCUGCAAAUGACAUAUUGUAUCAAUGCUUUGUAGUAACAAAAGGAACUCACAUACAAUAGAACUUGCGCAAUACUGUAUCAACACCCCAAAGGAGGCAUUACAAAAUUCUCAAAGAAUGUUUCCGAAGGGAUUAACCUCACAGCAACACAACCAAAUUUGGCGCGCGCAGAAAGAAUUGAAACGAGGACCAUUAGCCAUACAAUUCUUUUAUCUACUUACUGUAGGUGAUUAGUUAAGUUCCAGCAAUUAUCAAUUUGCAAAUCAGCGUUCUAAGACUUAAAAAUAAUAAUGAACAACAGAUCACCUUUUGUACACACGUAACCAUAAAAUUACAAGCAAUUGGGGUUGGGGGCACUGUCGGGGCUUCGGCCUUGGCUAGCAGUAGUGGUGACAGUGCUAGCAAGCAGCAGGCUACAGAGAGCAAAAGCAAGCAUCUAAAGAGCAGUAGGCGCGGCCAGGGGAAGGGGCUGUUGCACACGGGUGGCUGUAGGGGCGUGGUCAGGUCGUGCGCAGGAUGCAGGGGAGGGGCCGGGACGAGGGCGACCAUGGGCGUGAGCGAACGGGCAAUGGCGGGCAAGCAGCAGCGAUGGCACGACGACACCAGCAGGCGCGGUCGUGGCGGCAGGGUCGGGUUGCGGACAAGGCCGAGCACACGCGCGUGAGGGCGCGGGCAGGGUGUGGCCUCAGCGAGGCAGGGCAUGGGUGGCGCACGGCCACGCGAGGGGCGGCCGGCGCGGUGAGCACGAGCCCACAGGGAAGUGGUGGGCGGCGCAAACGGUGACUAAACAAGGGGGAAAUCGAGGGAAUCGGUGCAUUCGCUCACCAGGAUGAUGGCGAUGAUGGCGAUGCAGCCCGCCAUGAUGCUGAGAUGCAAGCACAGCUCCUUGUACGCCGCCUCCUUGCUUGGCUUCCGGGUGCGGGGAGGGGCUGGGGAGGAAGGUCGCUGUGGAGGUGGGGGCGGUGUUGGGUGUCGGUNNNNNNNNNNNNNNNNNNNNNNNNNNNNNNNNNNNNNNNNNNNNNNNNNNNNNNNNNNNNNNNNNNNNNNNNNNNNNNNNNNNNNNNNNNNNNNNNNNNNNNNNNNNNNNNNNNNNNNNNNNNNNNNNNNNNNNNNNNNNNNNNNNNNNNNNNNNNNNNNNNNNNNNNNNNNNNNNNNNNNNNNNNNNNNNNNNNNNNNNNNNNNNNNNNNNNNNNNNNNNNNNNNNNNNNNNNNNNNNNNNNNNNNNNNNNNNNNNNNNNNNNNNNNNNNNNNNNNNNNNNNNNNNNNNNNNNNNNNNNNNNNNNNNNNNNNNNNNNNNNNNNNNNNNNNNNNNNNNNNNNNNNNNNNNNNNNNNNNNNNNNNNNNNNNNNNNNNNNNNNNNNNNNNNNNNNNNNNNNNNNNNNNNNNNNNNNNNNNNNNNNNNNNNNNNNNNNNNNNNNNNNNNNNNNNNNNNNNNNNNNGCGGUGGCGGCGAUGGAUCUGGAAGGAAGGCGGCGAUGGAUUGGGUUGCGGGGCUCACAGUGAGGUGAGACGAGGGAGAGAUGGUGAGGGGAGGGAGGGACGAGGUCGGCAGCGGUGGGUGAGGAGGACGGCGAGGUCGGCGGUGGAUCGGGAGGCGGCGGGGUGAGAUUGGAUCGGGAGGUGGCUGCGGCAGCGAGCAGAUGGGGGAGAAGGGUGCGAUGGGGGAAGGGGUGUGAUGUGAGCUAGGGUUUGUGCUGCGGUGGGGUGGAUGGACGGAUGGAUGGACGGAUGGAUGUGGGAUGGUGAGAUGGAUGGAUGGAUGGAUGAGUGCCAUGUCAUCGAUCCGUGGGAAUGGUUCUGAUUGGUUUGGAAAAUCAGUGAUUUAAAAGAGUUUCCAAGUACAAAAAAUAGAGGGAUUUUGUGAAGUAGCUAUCAAAAAUACUUUGCAAAAGGGUACCACACAAAUUUUCACUAGAGUUAGACCACAUUUUAUGGAUAAGGACCAAUUUGUACGCAUUUCUCAUCUUUCUAGCUAUUUUUAAUCAUUUUUCAAGUGCCCCAAAUGAUGUUUUUUGUGAAGAACUUACCAAAUAAUUGUUGCAAAAUUGCACCAAAUCAUUUUUCAAAAAUACUAGGUCAUAUUUAAUGCAUAAUUGACCAAAUGGUUGGGUGUAAAAAGUUUUGAUCCACCUCUGGUGAAAAAGACAAAUUUCCGCCGAUUCAGUUGGAAGCGGGUUAAAUCUAAACCAUAGCUACCUCAUAGUUUGCUCUUUAUUUUUUCAAAAAAUCAUUUCUAGGUACAUAAGUAUCUAUUUAAUCAGAGAAACACCAAAAAAAUUAUAAGAUUCAACCACUAGCUAGGAACGGUCAUUCCCGUUGUUUUGACCGCAUUUUGAAACGGGCAAAAAAACUUCAAAAAAAAUCAAAAAAUUGGGAAACCUUUGCAUUGUGUCAUUAUAUGUGGCCAAGUUCCCAGGAAAAAUAACAAACUUGUAAUACGACAAUUAUUUUAAAAAAGUGUUCGCAGAAACGAGCUAUCACGUGUGGAGAUCAAUGGCUCUCAAGCCAAAUGAUCAAUCUUAUGGCCACAUUCAUGGCAUAGUUUGUUCAAAUAAUCUCAUAUUGUGCACAAGGGAACAUAUUGGAAUGGCAAUACAAGGUUGCCUAAGGAAGUUUUCAUUUUCGUUGGACGAAAAAACUGUUUUCCAUUUUUUGAGUGCCCAAAAGGAGGUUUUUUUGUGAAGGACCUCCCAAAUAAUUGUUGCAAAAUUGGACCAAAUCAUUUUUCAAAAAUACUAGGUCAUAUUUAAUGCACAAUUGACCAAAUGGUUGGGUGUAAAAAGUUUUGAUCCACCUCUCGUGAAAAAGACAAAUUUCCGCCGAUUCAGCUGGAAGCGGGUCAAAUUUGAACCGCAGCUACCUUGUAGUUUGCUAUUUAUUUUUUUCCAAAAAUCAUUUCUAGGUACGUAAGUAUCUAUUUAAUCAUAGAAACACCAAAAAAUUCCAAGAUUCAACCACUAGCUAGGAACGGCCAUUCCCGCCGUUUUGACCGCAUUUUGAAACGGGCAUAAAAAAUUCAAAAAAAAUCAAAAAAUUGGGAAACCUUCACAUUGUGUCAUUAUAUGUGGCCAAGUUCCUAGGAAAAAUAAUAAACUUGUAAUACGGCAAUUAUUUUAAAAGAGUGUUCUCAGAAACGAGCUAUCACGUGUGGAGAUCAAUGGCUUUCAAGCCAAAUGAUAAAUCUUAUGGCCACAUUCAUGGCAUAGUUUGUUCAAAUGGUCUCAUAUUGUGCACAAGGGUGCAUAUUGGAAUGGCAAACAAUGUUGCCUAAGGAAGUUUUCAUUUUCGUUGCACGGAAAAACCAUUUUCCAUUUUUCGAGUGCCCGAAAGGAGGUUUUUUUGUGAAGGAACUACCAAAUAAUUGUUGGAAAAUUGGACCAGAUCAUUUUUAUAAAAUACUAGGCCAUAUUUAAUGCACAGUUGACAAAAUGGUUGGGUGUAAAUUGUUUUGAUCCACCGCUCGUGAAAAAGACAAAUUUCCGCCGAUUCAGUUGGAAGCGGGGCAAAUUUGAACUGCAGCUGCCUCAUAGUUUGCUCUUCAUUUUUUUCAAAAAUAAUUUCUAGGUAAAUUAGUAUCUAUUUAAUCAGAAAUACAUGGUUUGAUGGAGAGACAUCGAGGUUUGGACGGUGGCCGAGGGCCCGAACUCUAGAGCGCGUAAGCUCGCAUGCCCGCCGCGUGGUCACCGCGUGACCGUGGCGUUGCCAUGUGUUCUGGGUGGCCUAGACAUGUGUAGUGGGUUGGGCACUCCCCAUGUAGGUGCUAGGAAGAAAAUUACAACAUAAGAUUCUCACGAGGAGACCAAUCGGUGCUCAAACAUGAAUUAGCAGCCAAGUGUUUGAUUAGCGGUACGGGAAAUGUACAUGGCUAAUGGGCGUGAGUUUUGGCUGAGGAUGAUCAGUUACUAAGAAGACCGUCUUCACAAAUUUUCAGCUCAAAAGGAGGAUCCUAGCUGGUACUUGCUUUGCAAACCACCACACUAGACAUAAAUACGAAUGUUGAAGCUCGGCUCAAAAUAAUGAAUGGAUUGAGUUGGCAUUUGGUGGAGGAUGGUUAUUUGGGCAUAGGAAAGCACUGUAGAAAAUGGAUACUAUUUGGACAUGCCAAAGUGGUACUUCCUUCACAAACUGUUACUCUGAACAGAAUAGGAAAAUGAAUAUUUUUGUAUUAUUUUUGAACUAGGCAAGGAAGGUUUUUACAUAUUUGACGAAGAUAUGACCCAAAGAAUUUAUGAGAUUUUUUGGGAAUUUUGGGAAUGACAGAAAUAUAGGUUGCUUCACAACCUAGGGCAAAAACUGCCACAUGGACAUGCCACAUAGGCAAAACUGAUGAGGUGGCGCCUAGUCAUAGCAAUAAGUACCAAUGCAUCCACGUUCACAACCUCAUGACUAUUUAUAUUGGUCAUAAUCAGGUAGAAAUAAGGCCAUUGGCGCCUCUUGUCUACUUUAUGACCAUUUGGUGUAAGCAAUUUCAGGGUUUGAGCCCUUCCAAGCGAAAUGGCCGUGAAUUUACGACCAAUUCAGCUGGGGUCACUAAGAGAAGGUCAUAAGUUGACCUAUUUCUUGUAGUGGUCGGCCUUCCCGGCAAGCUCCUCUUGUCGGGGUCUUGUCUCCUUGGCUUAAACACUUUGUUCUUGAAUGGCUCCAAAGGAACCUCGGAGGACCUUGGCGGUCACCCGGCAAGCCUUCCCGCGGGGUGCUGCGACUGCCCGUGCACAAGUUCGGGAUACUAGGGUACCCCUACUCUAGUACACCGACACCAAGUUUCUUCCCUAAGUGUCCACCAUACCUACCUAUAUGCGGUAUUUACCUGCCGUUCCAAGUAAAUUUGCAUGUGCCAAACUCUAAACGUUCAAAUAAUAAUCUGUUUUGUAUGCCCGAAUCUCUCAUGUAGCGACUAGGGGCUGUCAGUAUCUUCCAUGAUAGGUGGGUUAUUCUCACAAUGAGUGGACUCCGCUCAUCAUUCACGAGAACUGGGAUGCCCAGUCCCAUGAUCAAAAGAUCAAAAUCAAAUCAAAAAUAAUUGCAAACAAAACUCCCCCAGGUUUGAUGUUAGUUGGACGACACCCGUUGUUUCGGACAAGCCGUGGAGUGUGAUUGUUGGUGGAGGGGGAGUAAAAACUUUACCAUUCUAUUUGGGAACCGCCUAUAAUGUAUGUAGUAUGGAAGAUAUUGGGAACUCUUGGUUGUUAUGUUGACAAUGAAAGCAUACCUCUCAAAAUUAUUUUCAUCUCUAUUUCAAAAUCGAGCUCUGGCACCUCUGCAAAUCCCUGCUUCCCUCUGCGAAGGUCCUAUCUUUUACUUUUAUGCAAGAGUCAGUAGUAUUCCUUCUCAUUCCUACCUACUCUUUAGUUGACAAGUAUCGUGUGUUGGGGAAAGAUCUAAGCAUAUAUGGCCAUGCAAAUAUAUUUGAUCAUGAAUUAUUAUUGUCGACAAUUAUCUAUAUGAUAAGUGAGUUGGGAGGCGAAACACUAAGCCCCUAUCUUUCUCUGUGUUCGAUGGAUCCUAUUUGUUCUAAGAAUAUGCUUUGAGUGGUAGCAAUCAUGGAAGACUAUAUGAUAGUUGAGUAUGUGGAGUUUGCUAAAUCAAAGCUCUGACAUAGGCCCUUCCUGAAAAUAAGAUGAAUUGUAAUUGUUUGAUGACUGAGAAUGAAGUUUGCUAGUUUUCAAGAAAGUUUAUGGUCUAUACUUUAACAUGUGAAUAGCUUGUUACUUGAUCUUGAGAAGUUUUAUGAGAUGACCUACUGUUAUGACAUAUAAUCAUGCUAGAAAAGGUGAUUGAAAUUAUCAUUGAUCAAACUUGUGCACCUGCUAGCAUUCACACUUCAUAAAUUCUUUCUUUUAUCAUUUACCUACUCGAGGACGAGCAGGAAUUAAGCUUGGGGAUGCUGAUACGUCUCCAACGUAUCUAUAAUUUAUGAAGCAUUCGUGCUAUUAUAUUAUCUGUUUUGGAUGUUUAUGGGCUUUACUAAGCACUUUUCUAUUUUUUUGGGACUAACCUAUUAACCGGAGGCCCAGCCAUAAUUGUUGUUUUCUUGCCUAUUUCAGUGUUUCGAAGAAAAUGAAUAUCAAACAGAGUCCAAGGGGAAUGAAACCUUCGGGAGCGUGAUUUUUGGAACGAAUGUGAUCCAGGAGACAUGGAGCUGAAGUCAGGGAAGCUUCAAGGAGGACACGAGGCAGGGGGGCAUGCCCACUCCCCUGGGCGCGCCCUCCACCCUCGUGGGCCCCUCGUGGCUCCCCUGACCGACUUCUUUCGCCUAUAUAAGUCCAUAUACCCUAAAACCUUCGGAGACAAGAAUAGAUCGGGAGUUCCGCCGCCGCAAUCCUCUGUAGCCACCAAAAACCUCUCGGGAGCCCGUUCUGGCACCCUACCGGAUGAGGGAUCCCUCACCGGUGGCCAUCUUCAUCAUCCCGGCGCUCUGCAUGACGAGGAGGGAGUAGUUCACCCUCGAGCUUAGGGUAUGUACUAGUAGCUAUGUCUUUGAUCUCUCUCUCUCUCUCUCUCUCUCUCUCUCUCUCUCGUGUUCUUGAGGUGGUACGAUCUUGAUGUAUCGCGAGCUUUGCUAUUAUAGUUGGAUCUUAUGAUGUUUCUCCCCAUCUACUCUCUUGUAAUGAAUUGAGUUUUCCCUUUGAAGUUAUCUUAUCGGAUUGAGUCUUUAAGGAUUUGAGAACACUUGAUGUAUGUCUUGCCGUGCUUAUUUGUGGUGACAAUGGGAUAUUCAUGUGAUCUACUUGAUGUAUGUUUUGGUGAUCAACUUGCGGGUUCAAUGAACUUAUGCAUAUGGGCUAGCACACGUUUUCGUCUUCACUCUCCGGUAGAAACUUUGGGGCACUCUUUGAAGUACUUUGUGUUGGUUGAAUAGAUGAAUCUGAGAUUGUGUGAUGCAUAUCGUAUAAUCAUACCCACGGAUACUUGAGGUGACAAUGGAGUAUCUAGGUGACAUUAGGCUUUUGGUUGAUUUGUGUCUUAAGGUGUUAUUCUAGUACAAACUCUAUGAUAGAUCGAACGGAAAGAAUAGCUUCGUGUUAUUUUACUACGGACUCUUGAAUAGAUCGAGCAGAAAGGAUAACUUUGAGGUGGUUUCGUACCCUACCAUAAUCUCUUUGUUUGUUCUCCGCUAUUAGUAACUUUGGAGUGACUCUUUGUUGCAUGUUGAGGGAUAGUUAUAUGAUGCAAGUAUGUUAUUAUUGUUGAGAGAACUUGCACUAGUGAAAGUAUGAACCUUAGGCCUUGUUUCCUACCAUUGCAAUAUCGUUUACGCUCACUUUUAUCAUUAGUUACCUUGCUGUUUUUAUAUUUUCAGAUUACAAAAACCUAUAUCUAUCAUCCAUAUUGCACUUGUAUCACCAUCUCUUUGCCCAACUAGUGCACCUAUACAAUUUACCAUUGUAUUGGGUGUGUUGGGGACACAAGAGACUCUUUGUUAUUUGGUUACAGAGUUGUUUGAGAGAGACCAUCUUCAUCCUACGCCUCCCAUGGAUUGAUAAACCUUAGGUCAACCACUUGAGGGAAAUUUGCUACUGUCCUACAAACCUCUGCACUUGGAGGCCCAACAACGUCUACAAGAAGAAGGUUGUGUAGUAGACUCAACAACUAGAACUUGAUACUUAAUAAAACACACCCAGACAAGUUCCAGAGACAACCCGGUGAUCUCUUUCCCACAUGGCGACGAGGGAGGAUCGCCGGGUAGGAUUAUGCUAUGCGAUGCUACUUGGAGGACUUCAAUCUACUCUCUUCUACAUGCUGCAAGAUGGAGGUGGCCAGAAGUGUAGUCUUCGAUAGGACUAGCUAUCCCCCUCUUAUUCUGGCAUUCUGCAGUUCAGUCCAUCGAUAUUGCCUCUUUACACAUAUACCCAUGCAUAUGUAGUGUAGAUCCUUGCUUGCGAGUACUUUGGAUGAUUACUCACGGUUGCUUUGCUCCCUCCUUUCCCCCUUUUGCUCUUCUUCCCGGACGUCGCAACCAGAUGUUGGAGCCCAGUAGCCAUACGCCACCGUCGAUGAUGACUCCUACUACACUGGAGGUGCCUACUACUAUGUGCAGGCCACUGACGACGACCAGGAGUAGUUUAGGAGGAUCCUAGGCAGGAGGCCUGCGCCUCUUUCGAUUUGUAUCCAAGUUUGUGCUAGCCAUCUUAUGGCAACUUAUUUAACUUAUGUCUGUAAUCAGAUAUUGUUGCUUCCGCUGACUCGUUUAUGUUCGAGCACUUGUAUUCGAGCCCUUGAGGCCCCUGGCUUGUAAUACGUUGUUGGUAUGACUUAUUUUAUUUUUAGAGUUGUGUUGUGAUAUCUUCCCGUGAGUCCCUGAUCUUGAUCGUACACAUUUGCGUGCAUGAUUAGCGUACGAUUGAAUCAGGGGCGUCACAUAAGACCACUAGUUGCAAGAAAAAGAGCAAAGGGAAGAAGGGGAACUUCAAGAAGAAUAGCAAGCAAGUUGCUACUCUCGAGAAGAAUCCCAAGUCUGGACCUAAGCCUGAAACUGAGUGCUUCUACUGCAAAGGGACUGGUCACUGGAAGCAGAACUGCCCCUAAGUAUUUGGCGGAUAAGAAGGAUGGCAAAGUGAAAGGUAUAUUUGAUAUACAUGUUAUUAUGUAUACCUUACUAAUGCUCAUAGUAGCGUCUGGGUAUUUGAUACUGGUUCUGUUGCUCAUAUUUGCAAUUCGAAACAGGGGCUAUGGAUUAAACGAAGAUUGGCUAAGGACGAGGUGAUGAUGCACGUCGGAAAUGGUUCCAAGGUCGAUGUGAUCAUCGUCAGCAUGCUACCUCUACAUCUACUUUUGGGAUUAGUGUUAGACCCGAAUAAUUGUUAUUUGGUGCCAGGAUUGAGCAUGAACAUUAUAUCUGGAUCUUGUUCUAUGCGAGAUGGUUAUUCAUUUAAAUCGGAGAAUAAUGGUUGUUCUAUUUAUAUGAGUAAUAUCUUUUAUGGUUAUGCACCCUUGAUGAGUGGUCUAUUUUUGUUGGAUCUCGAUCAUAGUGAUACACAUAUUCAUAAUAUUGAAGCCAAAAGAUGCAAAGUUAAUAAUGAUAGUGCAACUUAUUUGUGGCACCGCCGUUUAGGUCAUAUUGGUGUAAAGCGCAUGAAGAAACUCCAUACAGAUGGGCUUUUGGAAUCACUUAAUUAUGAAUCACUUGAUACUUGUGAACCAUGCCUCAUGGGCAAGAUGACUAAGCCUCCGUUCUCCGGAACAAUGGAGCGAGCCACUAACUUAUUGGAAAUAAUACAUACUGAUGUAUGCGGUCCGCUGAGUGUUGAGGCUCGCGGCGAGUAUCGUUAUUUUCUGACCUUCACAGAUGAUUUGAGCAGAUAUGGAUAUAUCUACUUAAUGAAACAUAGGUCUGAAACAUUUGAAAAGUUCAAAGAAUUUCAGAGUGAAGUGGAAAAUCAUCGUAACAAGAAAAUAAAGUUUCUACGAUCUGAUCGUGGAGGCGAAUAUUUGAGUUACGAGUUUGGUCUUCAUUUGAAACAAUAUGUGGAAUAGUUUCGCAACUCACGCCACCUGGAUCACCACAACAUAAUGGUGUGUCCGAAUGUCGUAACCGUACUUUAUUAGAUAUGGUGCGAUCUAUGAUGUCUCUUACCGAUUUACCACUAUCAUUUUGGGGUUAUGCUUUAGAGACAGUUGCAUUCACAUUAAAUAGGGCACCAUCUAAAUGCGUUGAGAUAACACCAUAUGAACUAUGGUUUGGCAAGAAACCUAAGCUGUCGUUUCUUAAAGCUUGGGUUGUGAUGCUUAUGUGAAAAAGCUUCAACCAGAUAAGCUCGAACCCAAAUCGGAGAAAUGUGACUUAAUAGGAUACCCAAAGGAAACUGUUGGGUACACCUUCUAUCACAGAUUCGAAGGCAAGAUAUUCGUUGCUAAGAAUGGAUCCUUUCUAGAGAAAGAGUUUCUCUUGAAAGAAGUGAGUGGGAGGAAAGUAGAACUUGAUUAGGUAAUUGUAUCUUCUCCUGAUUUGGAAAGUAGUUCAUCAUAGAAAUCAGUUCCAGUGAUUCCUACACCAAUUAGUGAGGAAGCUAAUGAUGUUGAUCAUGAAACUUCAGAUCAAGUUACUACCGAAACUCAUAGGUCAAUUAGAGUACGGUCCUCACCAGAGUGGUACGGUAAUCCUGUUCUGUAAGUCAUGUUACUAGACCAUGACGAACCUACGAACUAUGAGGAAGCAAUGAUGAGCCCAGAUUUCGUGAAAUGGCUUCAGGCCAUGAAAUCUGAGAUGGGAUCCAUGUAUGAGAACAAAGUGUGGACUUUGGUUAACUUGCCCGUUAAUCGGCAAGCCAUAGAGAAUAAAUGGAUCUUCAAGAAGAAGACUGACACUAAGGGUAAUGUUAAUGUUACUGUCUACAAAGCUCGACUUGUUGUGAAAGGUUUUCAACAAGUUUAAGGAGUUGACUACGAUAAGACCUUCUCACCCGUAGCGAUGCUUAAGUCUAUCCGAAUCAUGUUAGAAAUUGCCGCAUUUCAUGAUUAUGAAAUUUGGCAAAUGGAUGUAAAAACUACAUUCCUUAAUGGAUUUCUUAAAGAAGAGUUGUAUAUGAUGCAACCAGAAGGUUUUGUCGAUCCUAAAGGUGCUAACAAAGUGUGCAAGCUCCAGCGAACCAUUUAUGGACUGGUGCAAGCCUCUCGGAGUUGGAAUAUACGCUUUGAUUGUGUGACCAAAGCAUAUGCUUUUAUACAGACUUUUGGAGAAGCCUAUAUUUACAAGAAAGUGAGUGGGAGCUCUGUAGCAUUUCUAAUAUUAUAUGUGGAUCACAUAUUGCUGAUUGGAAAUGAUAUAGAAUUUCUGGAUAGCAUAAAAGGAUACUUGAAUAAGAAUUUUUCAAUGAAAGACCUCGGUGAAGCUGCUUAUAUAUUGGGCAUCAAGAUCUAUAGAGAUAGAUCAAGAUGCUUAAUUGGACUUUCACAAAGCACAUACCUUGAUAAAGUUUUGAAGAAGCUCAAAAUGGAUCAGUCAAAGAUAGGGUUCUUGCAUGUGUUACAAAGUGUGAAGUUGAGUCAGACUCAAUGCCCGACCACUACAGAAGAUAGAGAGAAAAUAAAAGUCAUUCACUAUGCCUCAGCCAUAGGUUCUAUCAUGUAUGCAAUGCUGUGUAAUAGACCUGAUGUGUGCCUCUAUAAGUUUAGCAGGGAGGUACGAAAGUAAUCCAGGAGUGGAUCACUGGACAAGGGUCAAGAACAUCCUGAAAUACCUGAAAAGGACUAAGGAUAUGUUUCUCAUUUAUGGAGGUGACAAAGAGCUUGUCAUAAAUGGUUAUGUCGAUGCAAGCUUUGACACCGAUUCGGAUGACUCUAAGUCACAAACCGGAUACAUAUUUAUAUAGAAUGGUGGAGCUGUCAGUUGGUGCAGUUCCAAGCAGAGCGUUGUGGCAGGAUCUACGUUUGAAGCAGAGUACAUAGCUGCUUUGGAAGAAGCAAAUGAAGGAGUCUGGAUGAAGGAGUUCAUAUACGAUCUAGGAGUAAUACCUAGUGCAUCGGGUCCAAUGAAAAUCUUUUGCGACAAUACUGGAGCAAUUGCCUUGGCGAAGGAAUCCAGACUUCACAAGAGAACCAAACACAUCAAGAGACGCUUCAACUCCAUCUGCGAUCAAGUCCUUGAGCGAGAUAUAGAGAUUUGUAAUAUACAUAUGGAUCUGAAUGUUGCAUAUCUGUUGACUAAGCCUCUUCCACGAGCAAAACAUGAUCAACACCAAGACUCCAUGGGUGUUACAAUCAUUACUAUGUAAUCUAGAUUAUUGACUCUAGUGCAAGUGGGAGACUGAAGGAAAUAUGCCCUAGAGGCAAUAAUAAAGUUGUUAUUUAUAUUUCCUUAUAUCAUGAUAAAUGUUUAUUAUUCAUGCUAGAAUUGUAUUAACCGGAAACUUAGUACAUGUGUGAAUACAUAGACAGAACAGAGUGUCCCUAGUAUGCCUCUACUUGACUAGCUCAUUAAUCAAAGAUGGUUAAGUUUCCUGACCAUAGACAUGCGUUGUCAUUUGAUGAACGUGAUCACAUCAUUAGAGAAUGAUGGGAUGGACAAGACACAUCCGUUAUCUUAGCGUAAUGAUCGUUAAGUUUUAAUGCUAUUGCUUUCUUCAUGGCUUAUACAUAUUCCUCCGACUAUGAGAUUAUGCAACUCCCGAAUACCGGAGGAACACCUUGUGUGCUAUCAAACAUCACAACGUAACUGGGUGAUUAUAAAGAUGCUCUACAGGUGUCUCCGAAGAUGUUUGUUGGGUUGGCAUAGAUCGAGAUUAGGAUUUGUCACUCCAAGUAUCGGAGAGGUAUCUCUGGGCCCUCUCGGUAAUGCACAUCAGUAUAAGCCUUGCAAGCAAUGUGACUAAUGAGUUAGUUGCGGGAUGAUGCAUUACAGAACGAGUAAAGAGACUUGAUGGUAACGAGAUUGAACUAGGUAUGAUGAUACCAACGAUCGAAUCUCGGGCAAGUAACAUACCGAUGACAAAGGGAAUAAUGUAUGUUGUUAUUGCGGUUUGACCGAUAAAAGAUCUUCAUAGAAUAUGUAGGAACCAAUAUGAGCAUCUAGUUUCCGCUGUUGGUUAUUGACCGGAGAUGUGUCUCGGUCAUGUCUACAUAGUUCUCAAACCCGUAGGGUCCGCACGCUUAACGUUCGAUGACGAUUUGUAUUAUGAGUUAUGUGUUUUGGUGACCGAAGUUUGUCUGGAGUCGUCCCGGAUGAGAUCACGGACAUGAUGAGGAGUCUUGAAAUGGUCGAGAGGUAAAGAUUCAUAUAUUGGGUAUUCGGACAUCGGAAUGGUUUCAAGUGGUUCGGGUAUUUUACCGGAGUACCGAUUUACUGGAACCCCCCGGGGAAGUAAUGGGCCUACAUGGGCCUUAGUGGAGAGAGAGAGGAGGGCCGCAAGGGGUGGCCGCGCAGCCCCCCCCAUGGCAGUCCGAAUUGGACUAGGGGACGGGGCGGCCCCCCUUUCCCUCUCCCUCGCGGAUCACAUCACAAUCACUAUCAUCACGCCGUCGUGCUGACGAAACUCUCCCUCGACCCUCUGCUGGAUCAAGAGUUCGAGGGAUGUCAUCGAGCUGAACGUGUGCUAAACUCGGAGGUGUUGUACGUUUGGUACUUGAUUGGUAGGAUCGUGAAGACGUUCGACUACAUCAUCCGCAUUAAACUAAUGCUUCCACUUUCGGUCUAUGAGGGUACAUGUACAUACUCUCCCCCUCUUGUUGCUAUGCAUCUCCUAGAUAGAUCUUGCGUGAUCGUAGGAAUUUUUUUGAAAUUUUAUGCUACGUUCCCCAAUAGUGGCAUCCGAGUCAGGUCUAUGCAUAGAUGAUAUGCACGAGUAGAACACAAAGAGUUGUAGGUGAUAAUAGUCAUAGUGCUUACCACCAACCUCUUAUUUUGAUUUGACGAUAUUGUUGGAUGAAGCAGACCGGACCAACAUUACAUCACCACGUUCAUGAGACCGGUUCUACCGACGUGCUUUUGCACACAAGUGGCUGGCGGGUGUCUGUUUCUCCAACUUUAGUUGAAUCGAGUUUGACUAUGACCGGUCCUUUUUGACUGUUAAAACAACACACUAGACAAAAAGUCGUAGUGGUUUUGAUGCAUAGGUAAGAACGGUUCUUAUUAGAAGCCCGUAGAAGCUGCCACUACUGCAAGAUGCUGCUAACGUGACACUACGAUCAGAGACCCUUUGAGAAACUGUGUGCGAUGCAAUAAUCGCAAACGGUGGUGUACGAAAACCAUCAGAAAUGUAUAAAAUGUUUGCGAUGAUGGAUGCAUCAAACACGGUUCAGGUUUUAGUUGCAUGUGCGAUGAAGGGCAUACGGUUCAGUUCAAUUAACUGUUUGCGAUGAAGAGGAACAAAAGAAAUGGGCAGCCAGAUGAAGGUGUGUGCGAUACACAGCAUACAGUUCACUCAGAUGAAUUGUUUGUGAUUAGGCAACACAAAAGAAACGGGUAGCCAGAUGAAGGUGUGUGCGAUAUACAUCAUACGGUUCACUCGGAUGAACUAUUUGUGAUUAGGCAACACAAAAGAAGCAACCAGCCAGAUCAAUGUGUGUGCGAUAUACAACAUACGGUUCACUCGGAUGAACUGUAAAAAUUAGAUAGUGCUAGUGAUUUUUAGCUGCAUAUUUUGACAAAUCGCAGUGUUACAAGGUUGACAAAUGGCAAUGUUACUAGAUAAACAAAUGUCAACCUUUCCAGUUUGACAAAUGGAAACAUACCCAAAAUGAUAGAUAUGCAAAUCUUACCCAAUUGUUUGUCCGUGGUUGCACACGGGUCAUGCAAAACAAUCGUUUGCGUUGAAGGGAUGCAGAAAUCCUGCUCGGCACAUUUUCCCUUGGCUUCUUGGGGAAGCUGUUGGUUUGCAUCCGGGUGUUCUAACUAAAACGUUUGCGAAGAGUGUUUUAUAUUUAAAAACCAUUGACGUUUUUUUUUCGAAAGAAAAUCGUUUGAUAAGUCUGUACAUUAAGAGAGAAAAACGCAAGUUCAUUCAAACCAUAUCUUUCAUUCAGUCACACUGCGAAUUUAUAUUCAUAUGAUCGAGAAUUCAAGAUACAGUAUUAAACCCCAAAAAACUAUUUUCGGCGGCAGUGUGAUAACCCACAAGUAUAGGGGAUCGCAACAGUAUUCGAUAAGUAAGAGUGUCGAACCCAACGAGGAGCCAAAGGUAGAAUAAAUAUUCCCUCAAGUUCUAUCGACCGCCGAAACAACUCUAUGCACGCUUGACGUAUGCUUUACCUAGAACAAGUAUGAAACUAGAAGUACUUUGUAGGUGUGAUAGGAUAGGUUUGCAAGAAAGUAAAGAGCACGUAAAUAAAGACUAGGGGCUGUUUAGAUAAAGACACAACUAAAUUAGUAAAAGUAAAGAGCUUGUUGUCACGAGAAAGUUAUUUGUCCCUAGGCAAUCAAUAACUAGAGUGGUAAUCAUUAUUGCAAUUUUAUUUGAGGGAGAGGCAUAAGCUAACAUACUUUCUAUACUUGGAUCAUAUGCACUUAUGAUUGGAAGUCUAGCAAGCAUCCGCAACUACUAAAGAUUCAUUAAGGCAAAACCCAGCCAUAGCAUUAAAGUAUCAAGUCCCCUUUAUCCCAUACGCAAACAACCUACUUACUCGGGUCUGUGCUUCUGUCACUCACGCCACCCACCAUAAGCAAAUCAUAAACAUAUUGCAAACCCUACAGCGGGAAUCCCUCAUGCUUGCGCGACACGGAGAGCACCAUUGGACAGCACCAAUAAUAAAACAUACAACUCAAACCAAUCACGAUCAUCAAAUAGCCAUUAGGACAAAAUAGAUCUACUCAAACAUCAUAGGAUAGCCAUACAUCAUUGGGAAAUAAUAUAUAGCGUUGAGCACCAUGUUUAAGUGGAGAUUACAGUGGGUAAGAGAGAGUUUACACCACUGCAUAGAGGGGGGGAAGAUUUGGUGGAGAUGUUGGUGAAGAUGGCGGAGGUGUUGGUGAAGAUCGCGGUGAUAAUGAUGGCCCCCGGCGGCGUUCCGGCGCCACCGGAAGCAAGGGGGAGAGGCCCCUCCUUCUUCUUCUUCUUCUUCCUUGACCUCCUCCCUAGAUGGGAGAAGGGUUUCCCCUCUGGUCCUUGGCUCCCAUGGCUUGGGAGGGGCGAGAGCCCCUCCGAGAUUGGAUAUAUCUCUCUGUUUCUGCGUUCUCUGCGUUGGCAGAUUCUACCCCUUCACCGUUUCCUUUAUAUCUGGAGAUCCGUAACUCCGAUUGGGGUGAAUCUUUCGCUCAGAUCUUCCUUGUAAAAUUAUCUUUAUUGCUCCAGAAGGAGAGCAUCAACCGCCUUACGGGUGGACCACGAGGGUCAGGGGCGCGCCUGGGGGGGAGGGGGGUAGGGCGCGCCCCCCUACCUCGUGACCACUCUGGACACCGUUUCGCGUUGAUUUUACUUCCAGAAAAUCAUAAAUAUUCCAAAAAAAAUUCUCCAUCCAUUUUUAUCCCGUUUGGACUCUGUUUGUUAUUGGGUUUCUGCGAAACAAAAAACAUGCAACAGACAGGAACUGGCACUGGGCACUGGAUCAAUAUGUUAGUCCCAAAAAUAGUAUAAAAAGUUACCAAAAAGUAUAUGAAAGUGAAUAAUAUUGGCAUGGAACAAUCAAAAAUUAUAGAUACGACGGAGACGUAUCAGCAUCCCCAAGCUUAAUUCCUGCUCGUCCUCGAGUAGGUAAAUGAUAAAAAAGAAUAAUUUUUGAUGUGGAAUGCUACCUAGCAUAAUCUUGAUCAUAUGUGUAAUCAUGGCAUGAAUAUUAAGACACGAGUGAUUCAAAGCAAUAGUCUAUCAUUUGACAUAAAAACAAUAAUACUUCGAGCGUACCAAUAAAGCAAUCAUGUCUUUUCAAAACAACAUGGCCAAAGAAAGUUAUCCCUACAAAAUCAUAUAGUGUGGCUGUUACUCUAUCUUCAUCACACACACUAUUUAAUCAUGCACAACCCGAUGACAAGCCAAGCAAUUGUUUCAUACUUUAAUAAUCUCAAACUUUUUCAACUUUCACGCAAUACAUGAGCAUGAGCCAUGGACAUAGCACUAUAGGUGGAAUAGAAUAUGAUGGUGGGGGUUAUGUGGAGAAGACAAAAAAAAGAGAAAGUCUCACAUCGACUAGGCGUAUCAGCGGGCUAUGGAGAUGCCCAUCAAUAGAUAUCAAUGUGAGUGAGUAGGGAUUGCCAUGCAACGGAUGUGCUAUAGCUAUAAGUGUAUGAAAGCUCAAACUGAAACUAAGUGGGUGUGCAUCCAACUUGCUUGCUCAUGAAGACCUCGGGCAUUUGAGGAAUCCCAUCAUCGGAAUAUACAAGCCAAGUUCUAUAAUCAAAAUUCCCACUAGUAUAUGAAAGUGAAAGCAUAGGAGGCUCUCUCUAUGAAGAACAUGGUGCUACUCUGAUGCACAAGUGUGGUAAAAGGAUAGUAACAUUGCCCCUUCUCUCUUUUUCUCUCAUUUUUUUUAUUUUCUCUUUUUUUUGGUGGCUUCUUUGGCCUCUUUUUUUUAUUUGGGCUUCUUUGGCCUCUUUUAUUUUUCAUAAAGUCCGGAGUCUCAUCCCGACUUGUGGGGGAAUCAUAGUCUCCAUCAUCCUUUCUCACUGGGGCAAUGCUCUAAUAAUGAUGAUCAUCACACUUUUAUUUACUUACAACUCAAUAUUACAACUCGAUAUCUCGAACAAAGAUAUGACUCUAUAUGAAUGCUUCCGGCGGUGUACCAGGAUGUGCAAUGAUCUAGCAUAGCAAUGACAUCAAAACGGACAAGCCAUGAAAACAUCAUGCUAGCUAUCUUACGAUCAUGCAAAGCAAUAUGACAAUGAACGCUCAAGUCAUGUAUAUGAUGAUGAUGGAAGUUGCAUGGCAAUAUAUCUCGGAAUGGCUAUGGAAAUGCCAUGAUAGGUAGGUAUGGUCGCUGUUUUGAGGAAGGUAUAUGGUGGGUGUAUGGUACCGGCAAAAGUUGUGCGGCACAAGAGAGGCUAGCAAUGGUGGAAGGGUGAGAGUGCGUAUAAUCCAUGGACUCAACAUUAGUCAUAAAGAACUCAUAUACUUAUUGCAAAAAUCUACAAGCCAUUGAAAACAAAGUACUACGCGCAUGCUCCUAGGGGGAUAGAUUGGUAGGAAAAGACCAUCGCUCGUCCCCGACCGCCACUCAUAAGGAAGACAAUCAAUAAAUAAAAUUGUGCUCCAACUUCAUCACAAAGCGGUUCACCAUAGGUGCAUGCUACGGGAAUCACAAACCUUAACACAAGUUUCUCUACAAUCCACAACCACCCACUAGCAUGACUCUAAUAUCACCAUCUUUAUAUCGCAAAACUAUUGCAAGGAAUCAAACAUAUCAUAUUCAGCGAUCUACAAGUUUAUGUAGGAUUUUAUGACUAACCAUGUGAAUAACCAAUUCCUGUCAUCUCUCUAAAUAGAUAUAAGUGAAGCAAGAGAGUAUAAUUCUUUCUACAAAAGAUAUGCCCACGCUCUAACAAAUAUAAGUGAAGCAAAGAGCAUUCUACAAAUGGCGGUUUUCUAUGUGAUGAGAAACAGGCAAUCCAAACUUCAAACGAUAUAAGUGAAGCACAUGAAGCAUUCUAUAAAGCCACACUCAAAAGAUUUAUGUGAAGUGCAAUGAGUAUUCUAUAAAUCAACCAAGGAAUAUCUCAUACCAGGAUGGUGCAUAUAAGAAAAAUAAAAACCUAAUUGCAAAAGACGCUCCAAGACUUGCACAUAAUGCACGAACGGAACGAAUUCGAAAACAUACCGAUACUUGUUGAAAAAAGAGGGGAUGCCUCCCCAGCAUCCCCAAGCUUAGACAAUUGAGUCUCCUUGAAUAUUUACUUGGGGUGCCUCGGGCAUCCCCAAGCUUGAGCUCUUGCCUCUCUUCCUUCUUCUCACAUCGAAACAUCCUCGAUUAGACACUACAUCCACACAAAACUUCAAUAGAAAACUCGGUAAGAUCCGUUAGUAUAAUAAAGCAAAUCACCACUCUAAGUACUGUAGCAAACCAAUUCAUAUUUUGUUUUUGCAUUGUGUCUACUGUAAUAUAACUUCCUCAUGGCUUAAUACACUGAUAUAAAUUGAUAGAUUGAUCAAAACGAGCAAACUAUGCAUCAAAAACAGAAUCUGUCAAAAACAUAAUAGUCUAUAGCAAUCUGAACAUCCACCAUACUUAUGGUACCCCGAAAAUUCUACCAAAAUUAGGAAACAUAAAGACGUUGUAUAGCAAGACAGUUCAAAAAGAAUCAGAACCAAUUGACGUUCCAGUUAAAAAUGUAAAAUCGCGCACUACAGCCAAAGUUUCUGUCCAGCACCGUACAAACCAACAAGCAUUGUAAACAUCCUAAAGGCAAACCUUGGCACAUUAUUUUUAUAAUACAAUGGAAUUAUACAAGGGGAUAAUUAUUUUUGUUGAAAAGUUUUUGUAAUCAAGAUUCACAAAGUCUCCAUGACGAUGAACAAAGUUCAAGGCUAGCUCCCACUUCAACAAUGCUUGUCUUUCUCACUUUCACUUUCCUUUUUGAAAAGUUUUUGGUUUCCCCUCUUUAUUUAUUUUUGCUUUUUAAACUAUAUGAAAGCACUCAACAGAAAUAAGUGACUCUCUAAAACUUCCGGGUUGUCUCCCUGGCAGCGCUUUCUUUAAAGCCAUUAAGCUAGGCAUAUAGUGCUCAAGUAGUGAAUCCACCCGGAUCCCAAGGUAUAUCAAAGCCAAUUUUAAUUAACAAUGAUUUAUAAUUUAGCAGUGAGCACAAAGUAACAUAUAUCAAGCACCAACGAAGUCUAACUCUCUUCAUAUGCAUCGACAUGUCAUAAAAGAACAAUUCAUGCACACAUAGUAAAGGCCAAUGCAUAGUAUAAACAAUUUCUUGCAAUUCUAUCAUGUUGGAAACAUAGAGAGGUGGAGAUAUAGUUCCUCUCUCAUAAUAAUUGCAAGUAGGGGCAGCAAGCACAUGCAUAUUAUACUCAUCAAAAUUAUCAUGUGUAGUAGUAAAAGGCAACCCAUCAAUAUAAUCCUUAAUAAGUGCAAGCUUCUCCGAUAUAGUGUAGUCGGGAGAAUUCAAAAAGAUAAUAGGACUAUCAUGCGUUGGUGCAAUAGCAGAAAUUUCAUGUUUAACAUAAGGAACUAUAGCAAGUUCAUCUCCAUAAGCAUCAUUCAUAUUGGCAUCUUGGCCACAAGCAUAGCAAGCAUCAUCAAAAAGGCAUAUUUCAAAAGAAUCAACGGGAUCAUAACAAUCAUCAUAACAAUCAUUAUAGCAAUCAUCAUAGCAAUCAUCCUUCGGUAAGCACGAAGGGGAAUUAAACAAUGUAUGAGUUGAAGAGUUACUCUCAUUAGAAGGUGGGCACGGGUGAUCAAUCCGCUCUUCCUCCUUUUGUUCUUCGCUCUCCUCAUCAUCUUUUUCAUCCAAUGAGCUCAUAGUUUCAUCAAUUUCUUCUUCCAUAGAUUCCUUCAAAAUAUUAAUCUCUUCUUGGACAGCGGAGACUUUCUCAAUAAGUGCAUUAAUUUCAUAAUUGUAUUUAUAAUUCUCAUAGCAAUAUUUGAGGAUAGCUAAAUUUUCAGAUCUAUGAACAGCAUCAUCAAAAUCCUCAAACUCUUUACACAUAGCUUCAAUUUCAUAAGCACCCAUAAAAGCAACAAAUUAUUCCAUUUGUUCCACAUCAUAGUAAUCAUAUAUACCAUUAGCAUAAGAAGCUAAGGUUACAUUAUCAUUAAAUUUGCAUGAAAAGGGAAGGUGCGUAGAAUUCAUCCUAGAGAAACAAGUAUAAUCAUAUUCCACGCAUAGUUUCCAAGCAUACCACUUCAAUAAAUGAAUUUGAUCCCAUAAUAGUUUCCCUUUUUGUGUUAAGAGAUAAUCCCUGAAGUAUUCACGUUGAUCCAAUGUUACUCCCAUUAUAAUGUUGAAUGGGGUUUUCUCAGGAUUAUAAAAGUAGUAUAUAAUAUCUCUCGCAUAAUGAGAAUCGAGGGUUUUAAGAGUUACCCCAUCCUCAUGAGUAGCAAGUACAGCUAAUUUUUUUGGUAUUUUGCGUUCCAUAUCCAUAACUAAAGAUAGAGAACAACUAAGAACAGCAAAUAAAAAUUACUUAGUGAUAAAGCAAACAAGCACACAUGAGAAUAUUCACCCCACACUAUGACUCCCCAGCAACGGCGCUAGAAAAAGGUCUUGAUAACCCACAAGUAUAGGGGAUCGCAAUAGUUUUCGAUAAAUAAGAGUGUCGAACCCAACGAGGAGCUAAAGGUAGAAUAAAUAUUCCCUCAAGUUCUAUCGACCUCCGAUACAACUCUACGCACGCUUGACGUUUGCUUUACCUAGAACAAGUAUGAAACUAGAAGUACUUUGUAGGUGUGAUAGGAUAGGUUUGCAAGAAAGUAAAGAGCACGUAAAUAAAGACUAGGGGAUGUUUAGAUAAAGACACAACUAAAUUAGUAAAAGUAAAGAGCUUGUUGUCACGAGAAAGUUAAUUGUCCCUAGGCAAUCGAUAACUAGAGUGGUAAUCAUUAUUGCAAUUUUAUUUGAGGGAGAGGCAUAAACUAACAUACUUUCUCUACUUGGAUCAUAUGCACUUAUGAUUGGAACUCUAGCAAGCAUCCGCAACUACUAAAGAUUCAUUAAGGUAAAACCCAACCAUAGCAUUAAAGUAUCAAGUCCCCUUUAUCCCAUACGCAAACAACCUACUUACUCGGGUCUAUGCUUCUGUCACUCACGCCGCCCACCAUAAGCAAAUCAUAAACAUAUUGCAAACCCUACAGUGGGAAUCCCUCACGCUUGCGUGACACGGAGAACACCAUAAGACAACACCAAUAAUAAAACAUACAACUCAAACCAAUCACGAUCAUCAAAUGGCCAUUAGGACAAAACAGAUCUACUCAAACAUCAUAGGAUAGCCAUACAUCAUUGGGAAAUAAUAUAUAGUGUUGAGCACCAUGUUUAAGUAGAUACUACAGCGGGGAAGAGAGAUGUUACACCGCUGCAUAGAGGGGGGAAGAGUUGGUGGAGAUGUUGGUGAAGAUGGCGGAGGUGUUGGUGAAGAUCGCGGUGAUGAUGAUGGCCCCCGGCGGCGUUCCGGCGCCACCGGCAGCAAGGGGGAGAGGGCCCCCCUUCUUCUUCUUCUUCUUCCUUGACCUCCUCCCUAGAUGGGAGAAGGGUUUCCCCUCUGGUCCUUGGCUCCCAUGGCUUGGGAGGGGCGAGAUCCCCUCCGAGAUUGGAUCUAUCUCUCUGUUUCUGCGUUCUCUGCGUUGGCAUAUUCUACCCCUUCACCAUUUCCUUUAUAUCUGGAGAUCCGUAACUCCAAUUGGGGUGAAUCUUUCACUCAGAUCUUCCUUGUAAAAUUAGCUUUCUUGUGCCAGAAGGAGAGCAUCAACCGCCUUACGGGUGGACCACGAGGGUCAGGGGCGCGCCUGGGGGGGGGGUGGGUAGGGCGCGCCCCCUACCUCGUGACCACCCUGGACACCGUUUCACGUUGAUUUUACUUCCAGAAAAUCAUAAAUAUUCCAAAAAAAAUCUCCGUCCAUUUUUAUCCCGUUUGGACUCCGUUUGAUAUUGGGUUUCUGCGAAACAAAAAACAUGCAACAGACAGGAACUGGCACUGGGCACUGGAUCAAUAUGUUAGUCCCAAAAAUAGUAUAAAAAGUUACCAAAAAGUAUAUGAAAGUGAAUAAUAUUGGCAUGGAACAAUCAAAAAUUAUAGAUACGACGGAGACGUAUCAGCAUCCCCAAGCUUAAUUCCUUCUCGUCCUCGAGUAGGUAAAUGAUAAAAAAGAAUAAUUUUUGAUGUGGAAUGCUACCUAGCAUAAUCUUGAUCAUAUGUGUAAUCAUGGCAUGAAUAUUAAGACACGAGUGAUUCAAAGCAAUAGUCUAUCAUUUGACAUAAAAACAAUAAUACUUCGAGCGUACCAAUAAAGCAAUUAUGUCUUUUCAAAACAACAUGGCCAAAGAAAGUUACCCCUACAAACUCAUAUAGUCUGGCUGUUGCUCUAUCUUCAUCACACAAAGUAUUUAAUCAUGCACAACCCCGAUGACAAGCCAAGCAAUUGUUUCAUACUUUAAUAAUCUCAAACUUUUUCAACUUUCACGCAAUACAUGAGCGUGAGCCAUGGACAUAGCACUAUAGGUGGAAUAGAAUAUGAUGGUGGGGGUUAUGUGGAGAAGACAAAAAAAAGAGAAAGUCUCACAUCGACUAGGCGUAUCAACGGGUUAUGGAGAUGCCCAUCAAUAGAUAUCAAUGUGAGUGAGUAGGGAUUGCAUGCAACGGAUGCACUAUAGCUAUAAGUGUAUGAAAGCUCAAACUGAAACUAAGUGGGUGUGCAUCCAACUUGCUUGCUCAUGAAGACCUCGGGCAUUUUAGGAAUCCCAUCAUCAGAAUAUACAAGCCAAGUUCUAUAAUGAAAAUUCCCAAUAGUAUAUGAAAGUGAAAGCAUAGGAGGCUCUCUCUAUGAAGAACAUGGUGCUACUCUGAAGCACAAGUGUGGUAAAAGGAUAGUAACAUUGCCCCUUCUCUCUUUUUCUCUCAUUUUUUUUUAUUUUCUGUUUUUUUGGUGGGCUUCUUUGGCCUCUUUUUUUUAUUUGGGCUUCUUUGGCCUCUUUUAUUUUUCAUAAAGUCCAGAGUCUCAUCCCGACUUGUGGGGGAAUCAUAGUCUCCAUCAUCCUUUCUCACUGGGGCAAUGCUCUAAUAAUGAUGAUCAUCACACUUUUAUUUACUUACAACUCAAUAUUACAACUCGAUAUCUCGAACAAAGAUAUGACUCUAUAUGAAUGCUUCCGGCGGUGUACCAGGAUGUGCAAUGAUCUAGCAUAGCAAUGACAUCAAAACGGACAAGCCAUGAAAACAUCAUGCUAGCUAUCUUACGAUCAUGCAAAGCAAUAUGACGAUGAAUGCUCAAGUCAUGUAUAUGAUGAUGAUGGAAGUUGCAUGGCAAUAUAUCUCGGAAUGGCUAUGGAAAUGCCAUGAUAGGUAGGUAUGGUGGCUGUUUUGAGGAAGGUAUAUGGUGGGUGUAUGGUACCGGCGAAAGUUGUGCGGCACAAGAGAGGCUAGCAAUGGUGGAAGGGUGAGAGUGCGUAUAAUCCAUGGACUCAACAUUAGUCAUAAAGAACUCAUAUACUUAUUGCAAAAAUGUACAAGCCAUUGAAAACAAAGUACUACGCGCAUGCUCCUAGGGGGAUAGAUUGGUAGGAAAAGACCAUCGCUCGUCCCCGACCGCCACUCAUAAGGAAGACAAUCAAUAAAUAAAAUUGUGCUCCAACUUCAUCACAAAGCGGUUCACCAUAGGUGCAUGCUACGGGAAUCACAAACCUCAACACAAGUGUCUCUACAAUCCACAACCACCCACUAGCAUGACUCUAAUAUCACCAUCUGUAUAUCGCAAAACUAUUGCAAGGAAUCAAACAUAUCAUAUUCAGCGAUCUACAAGUUUAUGUAGGAUUUUAUGACUAACCAUGUGAAUGACCAAUUCCUGUCAUCUCUCUAAAUAGAUAUAAGUGAAGCAAGAGAGUAUAAUUCUUUCUACAAAAGAUAUGCCCACGCUCUAACAAAUAUAAGUGAAGCAAAAGAGCAUUCUACAAAUGGCGGGUUUCUAUGAGAUGAGAAACAGGCAAUCCAAACUUCAAACGAUAUAAGUGAAGCACAUUAAGCAUUCCAUAAAGCCACACUCAAAAGAUUUAUGUGAAGUGCAAUGAGUAUUCUACAAAUCAACCAAGGACUAUCUCAUACCAGCAUGGUGCAUAAAAUAAAAAGAAAAACCUAAUUGCAAAAGACGCUCCAAGACUUGCACAUAACGCAUGAACGAAACGAAUUCGAAAACAUACCGAUACUUGUUGAAAAAAGAGGGGAUGCCUCCCUAGCAUCCCCAAGCUUAGACGCUUGAGUCUCCUUGAAUAUUUACUUGGGGUGCCUCGGGCAUCCCCAAGCUUGAGCUCUUGCCUCUCUUCCUUCUUCUCACAUCGAAACAUCCUCCAUUAGACACUACAUCCACACAAAACUUCAACAGAAAACUCGAUAAGAUCCGUUAGUAUAAUAAAGCAAAUCACCACUCUAAGCACUGUAGCAAACCAAUUCAUAUUUUGUUUUUGCAUUAUGUCUACUGUAAUAUAACUUCCUCAUGGCUUAAUCCACUGAUAUAAAUUGAUAGAUUCUUCAAAACAAGCAAACUAUGCAUCAAAAACAGAAUCUGUCAAAAACAGAACAGUCUGUAGCAAUCUGAACAUCCACCAUACUUCUGGUACCCCAAAAAUUCUACCAAAAUUAGGAAAAAUAAACACGUUGUAUAGCAAUACAUUGCAAAAAGCAUCAGAACUAAUUGACGUUCCAGUUAAAAAUGUAAAAUCGCGCACUACAGGGAAAGUUUAUGUCCAGCACCGUACAAACCAACAAGCAUUGUAAACAUCCUAAAGGCAAACCUUGGCACAAUAUUUUUAUAAUACAAUGGAAUUAUACAAGGGGAUAAUUAUUUUUGUUGAAAAGUUUCUGUAAUCAAGAUUCACAAAGUCUCCAUGAGCAUGAACAAAGUUCAAGGCUAACUCCCACUUCAACAAUGCUUGUCUUUCUCACUUUCACUUUCCUUUUUGAAAAGUUUUUGGUUUCCCCUCUUUAUUUAUUUUUGCUUUUUAAACUAUAUGAAAGCACUCAGCAGAAAUAAAUGACUCUCUAAAACUUCUGGGUUGUCUCCCUGGCAGCGCUUUCUUUAAAGCCAUUAAGCUAGUCAUAUAGUGCUCAAGUAGUGAAUCCACCCGGAUCCCAAGGUAUAUCAAAGCCAAUUUUAAUUCACAAUGAUUUGUAAUUUAGCAAUGAGCACAAAGUAACAUAUAUCAAGCAACAACGUAGUCUAACUCUCUUCCUAUGCAUCGGCAUGUCAUAAAAGAACAAUUCAUGCACACAUAGUAAAGGCCAAUGCAUAGUAUAAACAAUUUCUUGCAAUUCUAUCGUGUUGGAAACAUAGAGAGGUGGAGAUAUAGUUCCUCUCUCAUAAUAAUUGCAAGUAGGGGCAGCAAGCACAUGCAUAUUAUAUUCAUCAAAAUUAUCAUGUGUAGUAGUAAAAGGCAACCCAUCAAUAUAAUCCUUAAUAAGUGCAAGCUUCUCCGAUAUAGUGUAGUCGGGAGAAUUCAAAAAGAUAAUAGGACUAUCAUGCGUGGGUGCAAUAGCAGCAAUUUCAUGUUUAACAUAAGGAACCAUAGCAAGUUCAUCUCCAUAAGCAUCAUUCAUAUUGGCAUCUUGGCCACAAGCAUAGAAAGCAUCAUCAAAAAGGGAUAUUUCAAAAGAAUCAACGGGAUCAUAACAAUCAUUAUAGCAAUCAUCAUAGCAAUCAUCCUGUGGUAAGCACAAAGGGGAAUUAAACAAUGUAUGAGUUGAAGAGUUACUCUCAUUAGAAGGUGGGCACGGGUGAUCAAUCCGCUCUUCCUCCUUUUGUUCUUCGCUCUCCUCAUCAUCUUUUUCAUCCAAUGAGCUCAUAGUUUCAUCAAUUUCUUCUUUCAUAGAUUCCUUCAAAAUAUUAAUCUCUUCUUGGACAGCGGAGACUUUCUCAAUAAGUGCAUUAAUUUCAUAAUUGUAUUUAUAAUGCUCAUAGCAAUAUUUGAGGAUAGCUAAAUUUUCAGAUCUAUGAACAGCAUCAUCAAAAUCCUCAAACUCUUUACACAUAGCUUCAAUUUCAUAAGCACCCAUAAAAGCAACAAAUUCUUCUAUUUGUUCCACAUCAUAGUAAUCAUAUAUACCAUUAGCAUAAGAAGCUAAGGUUACAUUAUCAUUAAAUUUGCAUGAAAAGGGAAGGUGCAGAGAAUUCAUCCUAGAGCAACAAGUAUAAUCAUAUUCCACGCAUAGUUUCCAAGCAUACCACUUCAAUAAAUGAAUUUGAUCCCAUAAUAGUUUCCCUUUUUGUGUUAAGCGAUAAUCCCUAAAGUAUUCACGUUGAUCCAACGUUACUCCCAUUAUAAUGUUGAAUGGGGUUUUCUCAGGAUUAUCAAAGUAGUAUAUAAUAUCUCUCGCAUAAUGAGAAUCGAGGGUUUUAAGAGUUACCCCAUCCUCAUGAGUAGCAAGUACAGCUAAUUUUUUUGGUAUUUUGCGUUCCAUAUCCAUAACUAAAGAUAGAGAACAACUAAGAACAGCAAAUAAAAAUUACUUAGUGAUAAAGCAAACAAGCACACACGAGAAUAUUCACCCCAUGCUAUGACUCCCCAGCAACGGCGCCAGAAAAAGGUCUUGAUAACCACAAGUAUAGGGGAUCGCAACAGUUUUCGAUAAGUAAGAGUGUCGAACCCAACGAGGAGCUAAAGGUAGAAUAAAUAUUUCCUCAAGUUCUAUCGACCGCCGAUACAACUCUACGCACGCUUGACAUUUGCUUUACCUAGAACAAGUAUGAAACUAGAAGUACUUUGUAGGUGUGAUAGGAUAGGUUUGCAAGAAAGUAAAGAGCACGUAAAUAAAGACUAGCGGAUGUUUAGAUAAAGACACAACUAAAUUAGUAAAAGUAAAGAGCUUAUUGUCAUGAGAAAGUUAUUUGUCCCUAGGCAAUCGAUAACUAGAGUGGUAAUCAUUAUUGCAAUUUUAUUUGAGGGAUAGGCAUAAGCUAACAUACUUUCUCUACUUGGAUCAUAUGCACUUAUGAUUGGAACUCUAGCAAGCAUCCGCAACUACUAAAUAUUCAUUAAGGUAAAAUCCAACCAUAGCAUUAAAGUAUCAAGUCCCCUUUAUCCCAUACGCAAACAACCUACUUACUCGGGUCUGUGCUUCUGUCACUCACGCCACCCACCAUAAGCAAAUCAUAAACAUAUUGCAAACCCUACAGCAGGAAUCGCUCACGCUUGCGUGACACGGAGAGCACCAUAAGACAGCACCAAUAAUAAAACAUACAACUCAAACCAAUCACGAUCAUCAAAUAGCCAUUAGGACAAAACAGAUCUACUCAAACAUCAUAGGAUAGCCAUACAUCAUUGGGAAAUAAUAUAUAGCGUUGAGACCAUGUUUAAGUAGAGAUUACAGUGGGUAAGAGAGAGGUUACACCACUCCAUAGAGGGGGGAAGAGUUGGUGGAGAUGUUGGUGAAGAUCGCGGUGAUGAUGAUGGCCCCCGACGGUGUUCCGGCGCCAUUGGAAGCAAGGGGGAGAGGGGCCCCCUUCUUCUUCUUCUUCCUUGACCUCCUUUCUAGAUGGGAGAAGGGUUUCCCCUCUGAUCCUUGGCUCCCAUGGCUUGGGAGGGGCGAGAGCCCCUCCGAGAUUGGAUCUAUCUCUCUGUUUCUGCGGUCUCUGCGUUGGCAGAUUCUACCCCUUCACCGUUUCCUUUAUAUCUGGAGAUCCGUAACUCCGAUUGGGGUGAAUCUUUCGUUCAGAUCUUCCUUGUAAAAUUAGCUUUCUUGCACCAGAAGGAGAGCAUCAACCGCCUUACGGGUGGACCACGAGGGUCAGGGGCGCGCCUGGGGGGGGGUAGGGCGCGCCCCCUACCUCGUGACCACCCUGGACACCGUUUCGCGUUGAUUUUACUUCCAGAAAAUCAUAAAUAUUCCAAAAAAAAUCUCCAUCCGUUUUUAUCCCGUUUGGACUCUGUUUGAUAUUGGGUUUCUGCGAAACAAAAAACAUGCAACAGACAGGAACUGGCACUGGGCACUGGACCAAUAUGUUAGUCCCAAAAAUAGUAUAAGAAGUUGCCAAAAAGUAUAUGAAAGUGAAUAAUAUUGGCAUGGAACAAUCAAAAAUUAUAGAUACGAUGGAGAUGUAUCACAGUGGAGGCGGUGUGCCGUGCCGUCAUUGUCGUCCUCCGGGACGCUGUUGUUGAAGUCUUCAAGGCAUCACAAAAUGGUCUUCACUUGUAAAUCAAACAUCAUGUCGUCACGCGAUUGACGGGCGGGGCACGGGAGGACGCCAACUGGCACCGCUGAGAGGUAGCGGUCGACGACUGCGUCCCAUGCCACUAAGGGGGGGCUCGCGCACGGGCACGAGCACGGGCGCGGCGGGUGCAGCCGAACGCAUGGGGGCCGGCGUCACGAUGGGUGGAGGGGCGCGCACGGGCACGGGCGCUGGCGCUAGCAUGUGCACGAGCUCACGCGGGUCCGCGGAGACCUCACUGACGCCCGCGGCUUCCAGCUCUACGAUAGUGCUCGGCGACUAGCCCGUCAAUGCUACAGGGAUGGUCGCGGGCGCGGGCGCGGGGAUGGGAGCUGGGACGGGAGCGGGGGCAGCAACCGCCGCGGCUAGCUCAUUCUAGGCCAUGUCCAUGAGGCCCCAUUACUCCUUAUUUUCUACUCCAUCCGUCCCAAAAUAGAUGACUCAACUUUAUACUAAAGUUAGUAUAAAGUUGAGUCAUCUAUUUUGGAACGGAGGGAGUAUCUCCUCCGGCUCAGAGUCGACUUCACCUCACCAACCAUGAAGACUAGUGGCAGAUGAUCGUUCUGCGCCAUGGCUUUGGUGGAGGUCUGCGGGAGGGAGGGGAAUGGGAGGCGAAUAGUAAGGCCUCCCGUAUUAAACAGUGGCUCGGGCGCCAUUAAUGGAGAGCAAGGUGGGUGGCCAUGGAAGUCAAAGGGUCGCUUCCCAGUGAGCCUGCGCAGCGUACAACUUGCAUGCUUCCCGGUGAGCCUGCGCAUUGGAGGACAGCUUGCAUGCCUCUCGGUCAGCCUGCACACCGGACUGCACUCACACGCCUCCCGUUCAGUCAAGGUCAAGCAGCUGUCCGCACGGCACCUCCAACAGCCAUUAAAGCCAAGACACGUGGCGUCACGUGAAUGGUUAACAGAACGCACAUGGUUUGAAUUCUACAAACGUUUGAGAUAUUAAAGUGGCAGCUAUUUUUUCAAAAUGCCUUUGUUGGUUGUCAUUAUUCGAGUGAGCCUUCUCUCAAAAUGGACACAAAAAAUGCCACAGCAUGUCGGGUGUCAUUCCAGGAUAGCAUGCCAAGUUUCAGGAAUUUCAUAUGAGUUUUGGAUUUACUAGAAUUUAAAAACCAGACAUCUAAAUGUUUUGCCAGCAAUCAACAGUGCCCUGGUGUUUGAAAUUCAUUCCCAUUUCUUGCAUGGGACCUAAGCAUGCACCCAAGGACACGUAUUUGAUUUUUCAACCAAUUUAUAUGCACUGGAGCAUGUGCAUGUAUUUCAAAUUUGAAUUAUGCACAUAAAUGCAUUGAAAACUCAGUUAAUGCAUAAAAAUGUCAAAACGAACCCCAAAAAAUCCUAAAAAUUGACACAACACUCCUGUUGUUCUAUCUUGACAUGAGAAAUUUUUUGAAAGCAAUAAGAGGCAAUGGAUAUCAUUUCAUUCCCAAAGGUGGGACGUUCCCUACCGAAACCAUCAUGCUUGUUGUGAGAAGCUCUGGUUUGUGAGAAGCAUAUACCCGAACCUGCCCCGAAUGGGACAAUUUUUUUACCACGGCAUGUUGAUGCCGCUCCAUGAUAGCAUGCCAAGUUUCAUAAAUUUCAGACGAGUUUUGGAUUUACUAGAAUUUAAAAAUCAGGCAUCUCAACAUUUUGCCGGCAAUCAACAGUGCCCUGGUGUUUGAAUUUCAUUCUCGUCUCUUGCAUGGGACCUAGAAAUUCACCCAAGGACACAUAUUAGAUUUUUCAACCAAAUUUAGUGCAUUGGAGCAUGUGCUUGUUGUUCAAAUUUGCAUUAUGCACAUAAAAUGCCUAGAAAACCCAGUUAAUGUGUAAAAAUGUCCAAACGAACCCCAAAAAAUCACAAAAAUUGACACAACACUCCUGUUGUUCUAUGUUGACACUAGAAAAAUUUGAAAGCAAUAAGUGGCAAUGGAUACCGUUUCGUCCCAAAGGUGGGACGUUCCCUAUCGAAACCAUCAUGCUUGUUGUGAGAAGCUCUGGUUUGUGAGAUGCUUAUACCCGAACUUGCCCCAAAUGGGACAAAUUUUUUAGCAUGGCAUGUUGAUGCCGCUCCAUGAUAGCAUGCCAAGUUUCAUGAAUUUCAGACGAGUUUUGGAUUUACUAGAAUUUAAAAACCAGGCAUCUCAACGUUUUGCCGGCAAUCAAGAGUACCCUCGUGUUUGAAUUUCAUUCCCAGCUCUUGCAUGGGACCUAGAAAUUCACCCAAGGACACACAUGUGAUUUUUCAACCAACUUUGGUGCAUUGGAGCAUGUGCUUGUAGUUCAAACUUGAAUUAUGCACAUAAAAUGCCUAGAAAACCCAGUUAAUGUAUAAAAAAGGCCAAAUGAACCCCGAAAAAUUCCAAGAUUAAACACAACACUUAUGUUGUUCUAUGUUGACACUAGAAAUUUUUUGAAAGCAAUAAGAGGCAAUGGAUAUCGUUCCGUCCCCAAAGGUGGUACAUUCCCUAUCGAAACCAUCAUGCUUGUUGUGAGAAGCUCUGGUUUGUGAGAAGCUUAUACCCAAACCAGUCCCAAAUGGGACAAAAUUUUCACCACGGCAUGUUGAUGCCGCACCAUGAUAGCAUGCCAAGUUUCAUGAACUUUAGACGAAUUUUGGAUUUACCAGAAUUUAAAAACCAGGUAUCACUGGUGCACGUCGGUCCUAAACAAACGGUUUUUAACCCCUUUCUGCGACGACAGUCGGAAGCGUCGCCAAGUGAGUGUGGGCGAUAGGGGGGUCCUUCCCACACGACCCAGAAACCGUUGGGAAUAUGCCCUCCUGGCACACAUGCUCGGCAAAAUGAGGUCGUGUGCGACCGGCGAGCACUCAAAUACAGAAAUACAUACAGUAGUGCUAAAAAAUACAAUUAUACAGGCAAAAUCAUUUUCGGUCGUAAGUACAUCCCACACAGUGAGUCAUUGCUAUGUCUUGAACUUGCGUUGGUUUUCCUUGAAGAGGAAAGGAUGAUGCAGCAAUAGUAGCAUAAAUAUUUCCCUUGAGAACCAAGGUAUCAAUCCAGUAGGAGGCUCCUCAAAAGUCCCAUGCACCAACACAAACAAACAAGAACUCGCAACCAACGCAAUAAAGGGGUUGUCAAUCCCUUCACGGCCACUUGCGAAAGUGAGAUCUGAUAGAGAGAGUAUGAGAAGGAAAAUAUAUUUUUGGUAUUUUAUGAUAUAGAUUGGAAAAAUAAAGAUGAAAAUAAAAGUCAAUUGAAAUAAAAGAUAGACCCGGGGGCCAUAGGUUUCACUAGUGGCUUCUCUCAAGAUAGCAUAAGUAUUACGAUGGGUGAACAAAUUACUGUCGAGCAAUUGAUAGAAAAGCGAAUAAUUAUGAGAUUAUCUGGGCAUGAUCAUGUAUAUAGGCAUCACGUCCGUGACAAGUAGACCGACUCCUGCCUGCAUCUACUACUAUUACUCCACACAUCGACCGCUAUCCAGCAUGCAUCUAGAGUAUUAAGUUCAUAAAGAACAGAGUAACACAUUAAGAAAGAUGACAUGAUGUAGAGGGAUAAACUCAUGCAAUAUGAUAUAAACACCAUCUUUUUAUCCUCAAUGGCAACAAUACAAUACGUGCCUUGCUGCCCCUGCUGUCACUGGGAAAGGACACCGCAAGAUUGAACCCAAAGCUAAGCACUUCUCCCAUUGCAAGAAAGAUCAAUCUAGUAUGCCAAACCAAACUGAUAAUUCGAAGAGACUUGCAAAGAUAACUUAAUCACACAUAAAAGAAUUCAGAGGAGAUUCAAAUAUUUCUCAUAGAUAAACUUGAUCAUAAACCCACAAUUCAUCGGAUCUCGACAAACACACCGCAAAAAGAGUUACAUCAAAUAGAUCUCCAAGAAGAUCAAGGAGAACAUGGUAUUGAGAUCCAAAGAGAGAGAAGAAGUCAUCUAGCUAAUAACUAUGGACCCGAAGGUCUGUGGUAAACUACCCACAACUCAUCGGAGAGGCUAUGGUGUUGAUGUAGAAGCCCUCCAUUGUUGAUUCCCCCUCCGGCGAAGCGCCAACGAAGGCUCCAAGAUGGGAUCUCGUGGAUACAGAAGGUUACGGUGGUGGAAAUAGUUUUUCGUGGUCGUGCCUGAUGUUCUCGGGGUACGUGGAUAUAUAUAGGAGGAAGAAGUAGGUCGGUGGAUGCUCGAGGGGCCCACGAGAUAGGGGGCAUGCCCAGUAGGGGGGGGCCCUCCACCCUCGUGGCCUCCUCGAUUGCUUCUUGACUUGCACUCCAAGUCCUCUGGAUUACGUUUGUUCCAAAAAGAUCACUCCCAAAGGUUUCAUUCCGUUUGGUAUUCCAUUUCUUCGAAACACUGAAAUAGGCAAAAAACAGCAAUACGGGCUGGGCCUCCGGUUAGUAGGUUAGUCCCAAAAAUGAUAUAAAAGUGUAAAGUAAAGCCCAUAAACAUCCAAAAUGGGUAAUAUAAUAGCAUGGAACAAUCAAAAAUUAUAGAUAUGUUGGAGACGUAUCAAGCAUCCCCAAGCUUAAUUCCUGCUCGUCCUCGAGUAGGUCAAUGAUAAAAACAGAAUUUUUGAUGUGGAAUGCUACCAAGCAUAAUUCUCAAUGUAAUUUUCUUUAUUGUGGCAUCAUAGUUCAGCUACAAAUGAUUCAAGAUAAAAGCUUAUAAAACAUAAAAAAUAGUAGUACUUUGAAGCAUACUAACAAAUAAUCAUGUCGUAUCAAAAUAGCAUAGCCAAAGAAAGCUUAUCCCUACAAAAUCAUAUAGUUAGGCCAUGCUUCAUUUUCAUUACACAAAAUACUCCCAUCAUGCAUAAUCCCGAUCUCAGCCAAGCAAUUGGUUCAUAGUUUUUAACGCACUUCAGCUUUUUCAACUCUUACGCAAUACAUGAGCGCAAGCCAUGGACAUAGCACUAUGGUGGUAUAUGGUGAUAGUUGUGAGGAAAAAAGGGAGAAGAUAGUCUCACAUCAACUAGGCGUAUCAAUGGGCUAUGGAGAUGCCCAUCAAUAGAUAUCAAUGUGAGUGAGUAGGGAUUGCCAUGCAACGGAUGCACUAGAGCUAUAAAUGUAUGAAAGCUCAACAAAAGAAACUAAGUGGGUGUGCAUCCAACACGCUUGCUCACGAAGACCUAGGGCAUUUUUAGGAAGCCCAUCAUUGUAAUAUACAAGGCAAGUUCUAUAAUGAAAAAUUCCCACUAGUAUAUGAAAGUGACAAUACAAGAGACUCUCUAUCAUGAAGAUCAUGGUGCUAUUUCGAAGCACAAGUGUGGAAAAGAGAUAGUAGCAUUGUCUCUUCUCUCUUUUUCUCUAAUUUUUUUAUUUUUUUUAUUUGGACUUUCUUUUUUUAUUUGGCCUUCCUUUUUUUAUUUGGUGGGCUCUUUGGCCUCUUUUUUCUAAGUCCGAAGUCUCAUCCCGACUUGUGGGUGAAUCAUAGUCUUCAUCAUCCUUUCCUCACUUGGGACAAUGCUCUAAUAAUGAAGAUCAUCACACUUUUAUUAAUUUACAACUCGAGAAUUACAACUCAAAACAUAGAACAAAAUAUGACUCUAUAUGAAUGCCUCCGGCGGUGUACCGGGAUAUGCAAUGAAUCAAGAGUGACAUGUAUGAAAAUUAUGAGGGUGGCGUUGCCACAAAUACAAUGUCAACUACAUGAUCGUGCAAAAGGCAGUAUGACAAUGAUGGAGCGUGUCAUAAUAACGGAAUAGUGCAAAGUUGCAUGGCAAUAUAUCUCGAGAUGGCUAUGAAAAUGCCAUAAUAGGUAGAUAUGGUGGCUAUUUUGAGGAAGGUAAAUAAUUGGUGCGUGAUACCGGUGAAAGUUGUGCGGUAUAAUAGAGGCUAGCAAAGUGGAAGGGUGAGUGUGCGUAUAUCCAUGGACUCACAUUAGUCAUAAAGAACUCAUAUACUUAUUGCAAAAGUUUACUUGCCGUCAAAGCAAAGUACUACUACGCAUGCUCCUAGGGGAAGGGUUGGUAGGAGUUAACCAUCGCACGAUCCCGACCUCCACUCAUAAGGAAGACAAUUAAAAGAGCACUUCAUGCAACAAAUUUUUCACACAACUUUUACCAUACAUGCAUGCUACGGGACUUGCCAACUUCAACACAAGUAUUUAUCAAUUUCAUAAUUACCCACUAGCAUGACUCUAACAUUACCACCUCUAUAUCUCAAAACAAUUAUCAAGCAUCAAAUUGAUCCUAGUGUUCAAUGCACUUUCUAUGAUAGUUUUUAUUAUACCCAACUUGGAUGCUCAUCAUUCUAGGACCAAAUUUAUAACCAUAGCAAAUAUCAUGCUGUUCUAAAAGACUCUCAAAAUAAUAUAAGUGAAGCAUGAGAGAUCAACAAUUUCUUCAAAAUUAAGCCACUGCCAUGCUCUAAAAGAUAUAAGUGAAGCACUAGAGCAAAUACUAUCUAGCUCAAAAGAUAUAAGUGAAGCGCAUAGAGUAUUCUAAUAAAUUCUAAUCAAGUGGGCUUCUCCCAAAAGGUGUGUACAGCAAGGAUGAUUGUGGGAAAGUAAAAAGCAAAGACUAAUAUCAUACAAGACGCUCCAAGAAAAACACAUAUCAUGUGGCGAAUAAAAAUAUAGCUCCAAGUAAAGUUACCGAUAAACGAAGACGAAAGAGGGGAUGCCUUCCGGGGCAUCCCCAAGCUUAGGCUUUUGGCUAUUCUUUAAUAUCUUGGGGUGCCAUGGGCAUCCCCAAGCUUAGGCUAUUGCCACUCCUUACUCCAUAGUCCAUCAAAUCUUUACCCAAAACUUGAAAACUUUAACUUCACAACACAAAACUCAAUAGGAAAUCUCAUAAACUCCGUUAGUGAAGAAAGAAAAACCACCACAUAAGGUACUGUAAUAAACUCAUUCUUUAUUUAUAUUGGUGUUAAACCUACUGUAUUCCAAGUUCUAUAUGGUUCAUACCUUUACAUACUAGCCAUAGAUGCAUCAAAAUAAGCAAACAACACAUGAAAGGCAUAAUCUAUCAAAAACAGAACAGUCUGUAGAAAUCUGUAACUAUCGAAUACUGCUGGAACUCUAAAAAUCCUACCAAAAUAGGAUGUCCUGGGAAAUUUGUCUAUUGAUAUACAGCAAAAAGAAUCAAUGCAAAAGCACGUUUCUGUGAAUUACUAAAAUUAUUUUCAUGCGCUCAAAGUUUCUGUUUUUCAGCAGAAUCAAAUUAACUAUCACCAUGUAUUAAGUGCAUCAAAAUUUGAUUUAUUCCUCACAUGGUAUACAAUAACAUAAUGUAUCCACAGCAAUUGAACAUCGCAUUAUAGAAUUGAACCAAGCAGUUAACUAAACACCACAACAAAUGAACCAAAUGUUAAUAGAGCACCACAUUGCAAUAUAACAUACUCCUAAUAGAAGAUCAUACAGUUAACCAAACCAAGCAUGCUUAACAACUUGGAAAUAGAGCAAUUGUAUUUGUUUCUCAUCUAUUUAGUACAACCAAAUUCGAUUUAUUCCUCACAUGGUAUACAAUAAGAGAAUGGAGCCACAACAAUUGAACAUCGCAUUGCAGAAUUGAACCAAGUAGUUAACUAAACACCACAACAAAUAAACCAAACGUUAACUAAGCACCACAUUGCACAAUAUAACAUACUCAUAAUAGAAGAUCAGACAGUUAACUAAACCAAGCAUGCUUAACAACUUGGAAAUAUAGCAAUUGUAUUUGUUUCUCAUGUAUUUAGUACAACCAAAUUCGAUUUAUUCCUCAUAUGCUAUACAAUAGCAGAAUGCACCCACAACAAUUGAACAUCGUAUUGCAGAAUUGAACCAAGUAGUUAACUAAACACCACAACAAAUGAACCAAGCUACAACAAAUGAACCAAGCAGUUAACUAAACACCAAUUGAACAAUAUAACAUACUCCUAAUAGAAGAUCAGAGAGUUAACCAAACCAAGCAUGCUUAAUAGCUUGGAAAUAUUGCACCUUGAAGAAUUGAACAUCACAUUUGCAGAAUUGAAGCAAGCAGUUAAUUGAACACCACAUUGCGUGACAUAUAGAACAUAUGCACUAUAGCAAAAGAUUGCAUGGUAAAAGUAGAUAGCACAAUUCACUAGAAUUUUGUUAAGGAAAGGAAGUAGCUAGCAAACUAAACAUGGUUCAUUAUAGUGAGCUAAUAAGACAAGCUACUCCUCAUUGUCGGAGAUAUCGAUGACGAUUGGCUCCUUGGACAUGGAAGAGUGCGAGGUCUCCGCAUCGUGGGUGCCCUCGUUGUAGUGGUGAGUUGCCUGAGCCGCUCAGGGCACCAACCUGCUGGCUCUUGAGUUGAGGUAAGCACAUGCACGCUAAGAAAACACCUCGUAGUCUUCAUCGAAGGCACUGACAGUGGCCUCGAGAAAACGUCAUGAACUAUCGUUUAAAGCAGCCAACCGUGCCGCGGCGUCGGUGCGCGAGGCGUCAACGGUGGCCUCGACGGCGAGGUGCUCCUCCAAGAUCUGGGGGUCGGCACGAAUGGCAGCCAUCGCGACCUCAUCCGCACGUGCGGCCGUGAUUUCCUUCUCCACUGCCAAAUGCUCCUUGAGGUCCUGGCUAUACUGCGUGCACCAUGGCUUAGGCUGGCGCUUAUUUGGUGGAGGGGUCGGUGAUUUGGGUGGAAGGUGUCGCGCACGCGCUGGCGAUCGGGGCAUGUGGGAUGUGGAAGGAGGAGGUGGAUGGGGGUCGGGUGUGAGUUACUUGCCUAGAUAGGCGAGGCCGUGCAGCGUAUAGUUCUCCGCGGCAUGUCUGUCCUCAUUGAAUGACAACAAGCCAUCCUCGCUAUUGAUACGUCUUCAACGUAUCUAUAAUUUUUGAUUGUUCCAUGCUAUUAUAUUAUCUGUUUUGGAUGUUUUAUAUGCAUGAAUAUGCUACUUUAUAUUAUUUUUGGGACUAACCUAUUAAUCUAGGGCCCAGUGCCAUUUCCUAUUUUUUCUUUGUUUUUGAGUUUCGUAGAAAAGAAAUACCAAACGGAGUCAACCUUCACGAUGAUUUUUCUUGGACCAGAAGACAACCAGGAGACUUGGAGAUGAAGUCGGAGGAGCCACGAGGCGGCCACAAGGACGGGGGCGCGCCUAGGGGGUAGGGCGCGCCCCCACCCUUGUGGGCCCCCUGUGCCUCUCCUGACCUAAUUCUUUGGCCUAUAUAUUCCCAAAUAUCCCCAAACCACCAGAGGCAUCCAAGAAAACACUUUUCCACCGCCGCAACCUUCUGUAUCUGUGAGAUCCCAUCUAGGGACCUUUUUCGGCACCGUGCCGGAGGGGGAUUCGAUGACGGAGGGCUUCUACGUCAUCUCUAUUGCACUUCCGAUGAAGCGUGAGUAAUUUACCAAAGACCUACGGGUACAUAGAUAGUAGCUAGAUGGCUUCUUCUCUCUCUUUGAUUAUCAAUACCAUAUUCUCCUCGAUGUUCUUGGAGAUCUAUUCGAUGUAAUACUUUUUUUGCGGUGUGUUUGCCGAGAUCCGAUGAAAUGUGGGUUUAUGAUCAGCUUAUCUAUGAAUAUUAUUUGAAUCUUCUCUGAAUUCUUUUGUUUAUGAUUUGAUAUAUUUGCAAUUCUCUUCGAACUAUCGGUUUGGUUUGGCCAAUAGAUUUGUUUUUCUUGCAAUGGCAGAAGUGCUUAGCUUUGGGUUCUAUCUUGUGGUAUCCUUUUCCAGUAACAGCAGGUGCAUCAAGGCACGUAUUGUAUUGUUGCUAUCGUGGAUAAAAAGAUGGGGUUUUCAUCAUAUUGCUUAAGUUGAUUCCUCUACAUCAUUUCAUCUUACUUAAUGUGUUACUCUGUUCUUUAUGAACUUAAUACUCUAGAUGUAUGCUGGAUAGCGGUUGAUGUGUGGAGUAAUAGUAGUAGAUGUAGAAUCGUUUCGGUCUACUUGACACAGACGUGAUGCCUAUAUUCAUGAUCACUGCUUAGAUAUCGUCAUAACUUUGCACUUUUCUAUCAAUUGCUCAGCAGUAAUUUGUUCAUCCACCGUAUUAUUUUCUAUCUUGAGAGAAGUCUUUAGUGAAACCUAUGGCCCCUGGGUCUAUUUUCCAUCAUAUAAGUUUCCGAUAUAUCAUAUUAGUUUUCGAUCUACUAUUUUGCAAUCUUUUAUUUUACGAUCUAUAAACCAAAAAUACCAAAAAUAUUUACUUUAUCGUUUAUCUAUCUCUAUCAGAUCUCAGUUUUGCAAUUAACCAUGAAGGGAUUGACAACCCCUUUAUCGCAUUGGGUGCAAGUUCUUUGAUUGUUUGUGCAGGUAUUCAGUGAUUUGUUCGUUGUCUGCUACUGGAUUGAUACCUUGGUUCUCAAACUGAGGGAAAUACUGAUAUCUACUUUGCUGCAUCACCUUUCCUCUUCAAGGGAAAAACCAACACAAGCUCAAUAUGUAACAGCUAUUGCCAUCAUCUCCAUCGUAAUCGUUAUCACGAUCCAUCUAUACACGUGCAAAUACAUGAUCCAUCGUAAUCGUUAGCAGCUAUUGCAUCUACUUUGCUAGUUUACACGGCAAACCAUGGCACGAGGCUCAAGAGACCCAGCGCGACAAUGACCAACGUGUGUCCGUGACCAGAUCGAUUAGAAGAAGGAGAAGUGCCGCCAUCAGAGGCACCGGCGACGGUUGUUCCAAAGAAGUGUAGAGGAAGACGAACCUGCGCUCUUGUCGCCGCGGAAAGGGCGUCAACAGUCGUCAUUGCCGGCCGUGGGGCAGUUAGGGCUCCCCCUCGACAAGAAAACGGCGGCGGCGGGCCGAUGCGUAUGAGUUUUUUCCCAAACAGCAGCGGGCGGGCGCACGCGGACGGGCUACCGCAGCGGGCAGCCGUACACGACCGCCACGUACAUCGACGCGGGCGGGCGUACGUCGGGCGGGUAUGCAACCCAUACGUCUACGCNNNNNNNNNNNNNNNNNNNNNNNNNNNNNNNNNNNNNNNNNNNNNNNNNNNNNNNNNNNNNNNNNNNNNNNNNNNNNNNNNNNNNNNNNNNNNNNNNNNNNNNNNNNNNNNNNNNNNNNNNNNNNNNNNNNNNNNNNNNNNNNNNNNNNNNNNNNNNNNNNNNNNNNNNNNNNNNNNNNNNNNNNNNNNNNNNNNNNNNNNNNNNNNNNNNNNNNNNNNNNNNNNNNNNNNNNNNNNNNNNNNNNNNNNNNNNNNNNNNNNNNNNNNNNNNNNNNNNNNNNNNNNNNNNNNNNNNNNNNNNNNNNGUACCGAAGCGCUUCUCUUGGAAAAAUAACUCUCUGAAAUAUCACGUACAAAUCUAACUCACAACGAUUCUAAAUUAAAACUGGUAGGAAAGAAUUAGUGCAGUGCUAAGACAACUCCGUUCCCAUGAAUGGAGCAAUAAUUAAAAAGCAUGGCAAAAUGUGAAGUUGAUGGAAAAAGAAGCAAUAGUAUAGUACAACGGUUGGAUGAAGACUGCACUAAAAACUGUUUUUGCAGUUAAGAAAGGCCAGACAGAUCAUAGAUUAGGAAUUUUCAUCGAACAUUUUAUUUUAUCAAACAAAUUUAAUAAACCAUUAAUAUUAUUUGACAGAACUAAAUAUCAGUAGACAAUUCCUAUAUAAAUGAAAGAACACAAAAUUAGCUGAAAUAGCUACUGUGUAAUAGAAGACCAGCAUACCUAAUAUGAGUAUUUGAGUAAGUCAUAGCCAACAAUUUAAGAAAAAAAACAGGAUAUACCGAUAAUAAUAUAGGAUGAAAAUGGCACACCAAUAGGCAGGCCACAUCAUAUGUCGGUUUAAAUGUUCUUUCUCAUUCAUGCGUCCAAGUACAUGACGUGUAUGGUACUAUGGUUAGAGGUUGUUGUCAAGUUUUGGCUUGAUGUAGUCGUUUAGUAGUUCAGUAAUAAUUCCCAGAACUAUACGAAGGUGGAUAUGAUCCUACCUAUUUGUCUUAUCAGUUUCAUUGAGAGAUGAAAUGGGGGCAACCCCUUACUUUGAGAAUGGAACACAUAAAUUUAAUUUCAAAUAUGAGUUCACCCUCAUUGGGUGUAUAACGUGCUAAGCAUAUUUUUAACUAAUACAAUAUGGUGUAAUGCAGAAUAAGUUACUGUAUCAUCUCAUUGAGAUAUAUAAGAAUAAUGUUUUGAAUUUUCUAUUGGGUCGUAUUGUUGUUAAACCGAGCUAAUGAUAGUUAGAAUUGCUUCUUUGAUAGGAAAACAAUCAGCAGACCAUCUUACCCUUGACCCACCAUCCCAGUUUUCCUAAACAUAUACAUGGUUCUUAAUAUGAUUUAACAUGUUUACUAAGUUAUAAUAAGCUCUCACCAUCCUUUACACCUUUGGAUCUUCUUUAUUAUUUUUGUAAAUAAGAAACAACGUAGCGUAUUGUUUCAGUUGGAUAAACCAUUUAUUGGUAACAUUGACAUUUACUUGUGGUUUUGAACUUUAGUCCUGAUCAAACUAUUUUCAUAUCUGAUCGGGAUGAGCUCAAUAGGUAUCUUACUGAACCUGAUAUAGGCAAUGAAAACUUUGGUAAUGAAUUGCAGCUCAGAAGCUAGGUGGCAUCAUACCCGACCCUUUAGGCUCUGGACCAUGGCGCUUCACGCUGCACCUUGCAUACACUGAAGGUGCAUAUCAGGACGAAAAUGGACAUCUUUGUAUAUUACUGAGAAGAAGGAAUACCCGAAAUUUUUGAAAUACAUGAAAUUAGAUUCAGUUCUUUGGGAUUAAGGCAAUAGUACGUUGGAAUAGAAACGAGUUUCAGCCGCUUUAUGCUUAGAUGCACCACAGGAUCACCGAUAACUGAAUUAAUCAUGUCACAUUUGCAAAAAAGAACUGAGCAGAGCCUUUGCUUUUUCUUGGAACGAUAAUACCACCAGAAUCACCAUUGAUGUGACCGUCGCCUCUCUACGCUUACUGCCCAGUAAUUACUGAUUCUCUUCUGUCGAUUUCACCAAUAUAGGAUUCAAUCUAAGAGUCACCUUUCACAAUCUCGAUUUCUUGCGUAAUACCACCAGAAUCACCGUUGAUGUGAUCAUCCAAGUAGAGAAAAAAAAAUGAAAUCUAGCCACUUCUUACUGGAACCUACUGAGGAACUGACGUUAAUAGAUCUGUUUUUGAUAUUGAGAGAUGCAUGUGAAGGUGAUCCCUAACCAUGGCGCUUAGAUAGAUGAGGACAUGAUCAGUACGUGAGAGAUCAUACCAGAUUCUUCCUUCCGUCUUGCCACCCAUCAUCGUUCCCCCAGGACUCCUCCUUGCCGUUUAGUGGAGUUUGGGAGUUUGAACACGACGUGGAGAGAGAGAGAAGGGAUGUGAUGCGAUGGGAUCAACUUGCACAUCCCGAGGAAAGAUCAAUCAGGUGCUGGUGUCUGUCGCCCGGAACUCAUCGGCAGUAACAUCAGGGGACGGACGGCGGCGUGGGUGGGUGGAAUUAAGCGUGUAGUAGGAGAGGGUCGUGCGGAGGGGGCAGGUUAUUAAGAGGUUGUUUAUUUUCCUAGGUUUUUCUGAGACGUUUUAUUUUCCUAGGGUUAGGGCUAUAGUAGUUUUUUUUUCCUUUUACAGAGUGUAGGGGCAAAUCUAAUAGCGUGAGACCCCCAUGAUUCUGUGCUAGUUUCCUUACGCAUAUUAUACGCCCGUGUAAAAGGAUUUUCUCAGCGUAGUUUUUAUCUCUAAAAAACCAUUAAAGGAUUAUGGGCCCUAUUAGUUUUUUUGUCGAGUAUUAUAUGAGUUAAUCUACACCAUAAUAAUUCGGUCCCACCGGAUGAACGGUUAUUAUUUUCUAAUUAACGUGAUAAUUUCUUGGGAGUCUCUAAUUAGUAUGGGUGUAGAUUGUUGUCUACUCCUGUAAUUACUGAACAUAUUGUGCUGAGAAUUUUAUUUAUGUAUUGGUUGUUGAACCAUUGUACUAAGAAUUUGAAUUCCACGUUUUAUAUUUCAAAAUUUCUAUUUUGAAUAUAGAUUACAGGGAAAAAUAAAUUAAACAUGAGCGAAUAAAAUAAUGUACACAUGGUUAGAAAGAAAACAACGUGUGCGAUGAAAAAAUAGAGAACAGACGGUUCUUUGACAUGAAACAUUUGCGAUGCCCAACGGAUGCACACACAAUUUCGUCUCAUAUGCGUGUGUGAGUCAUGGUAAUAUGACAAACGUUUCAAACCUGUAUGCGUGUGUGAUAGGAAUACCUAUCGCAAACAUUUAUGAAAAUGGUACGUUGGUGAUAGUAGAGGCACCGCACACAUUUUACAUUUUUGAGCUGUGUGUGAUAAUGUACCUAUCGCAAACAUCUCGGUAGAUUAAAUGUUUAUGAUAUCCACCUUUUUCAUAUGACUAUAGCGGCAUAAUUGUUUCGGAUGUCUCUCGGAUCGGAAACGUAAUGUCGAGACGUAACGUGUGGGACUAGCGCGACUUCUCAUAUGUUUAUUCAAUGGCGAUCGACAGUAGCCGCUCGCCUAUCCCCGACGAUUUUUGGGCCGUGGGGGAAGGACCCCCCAUCGCCCACACUCAUUAGGCGAAGGUUUAAACUCCAUCACGGAAAGGGGUUAAAAUCCGUUUGUAUAACACGUAAUGUUACCAGUGAACGACUAUGAUAAGGGAUAUUCUAUUGCUUGUUUCGUGAUGGUGCGAUACUUCCAACUUUGUUGAUUAAUUUUUCAAUGUUUUAUGUGAUAAUCAUGAUUUAUUUUGGUGUCGAUGAUGAUCAAAUGAUUUUGGGACACAACGAAAAACUAUAUAAUAAAUCAACAAUUCUCAAUGGUUUAUUGAUUGUUUUGUAUGAACUAAAUAAUGGUUCACCCAGACUAUUUAUUCAUUCUCCUUCAGGCAAUAUUUCUCGCAAAUAUAUAAACUCAUUUCAUGGCACUUCUCAGUCCUAUACACAGCAGCAGGAGCUACUACUGCCUUGACAACAACUGCUCUUAUCCUUGUCAUAACCUUGGGCAGCGCAGCAAGCCUUGCACAAAAUGUUACCAGUAGCUCGUUCUGGUGGCGAACAGUGGUCGUCAGCUCCAGCUGCACACAUGUCAGUUGUACCUAUGCACAAAGCACAAUAGAGAUACCUCAAUAAAAAAUAUAUCCCACCAGGAAAAUAAAUGUUUGUGCAUCCAAAUACGAGUGAGAGAUCGUGAAAGAACGAAGAAAACCAUACCUAUGUAACUCCUUGUUGCAUGGCCUGAGACGAAAGUGGUGGCCAUGGCUACAAGAGCUACAAAGCAUAGGGGCCAUGUGUAGUUCCUCAUAUGUGGCACGGGAGAUAGGCUAUUCCUUUUCUUUUUUGUGUUGUUGGUUGCUGCCGAAGUCAUGUUCGUCCCCUGGGUGCUGGUGUUUAUAUAGCAGGAAAGCAAGCAGCUCUAGAGAUUAACACGGAAGGAAAACUUGGUGUGAAUUUACUUCUUGCCUUCUAUAGUUUUGUGGUACAUAAAUACCGCUUUGUACACAUGCAUGCCAUAAUCUGCACAACUAAAUUUUUGCCAUUUAAUCGUCUUAUAUAUUAUUGAAUCCAUAUCUACAUUUUUUUAGUGCCUCCUUAUCUCUACUAGAAGAACGCCCGUGCGUUGCAACGGGGCCACAUUAACUUUAAGAGUUCAAUAUUACGACAUUGGCGACCUUUUUUACCAUCAAAUCCUCACACACACAGACACACACUCUCCCUCCGUCUUCCUCACUCUCUAUCCCCCUCUCCCUCUCUCUCUAACACACACACAUAUCCAUCUUAUUGGGUACGGGACCAUAAUCCAUCUAUUUCACACAUACACGCUAGUGCAUGACAAUAUGGAUUAUGUGUAUUAUAUUUGCCACCAGAAUUGAGGGAAUUAAUUUCAUGUAAAUCGAUCAGCCACAGCUCCAAGAAUACGCGGACGAGGUGGCUCGGGUCGGCGUCGGCGCCGUCCAGCGCGGGCCACGGGCCCGCUUCCAAGUGCACGUGCAAUGCAUGCCUUCACAAAUAUUAUAACUAGAUGUGAGAAAUCACAUGCAUAGAAAAGACAUUCUGAUAGCAAUCCAAAUACCAUACUCAAUUGAAUACCUAACCUGGACAAUACUCUUAUUUCUAUGCGCCAAAAAAAAUGGAAUAGCAAAGCUAAGUAUGCCUACAUACGCUCAGAUUAUAUAUAAGAAUCUUGCGUGAACAAUUGCAACAAAGCACUAAGCAGCGAUAAAUUUAAAUAAAAAAUCCAUUAACUAUGCAGGCAACAGGCUUGUUACAACAUAGAGAGAUAGGAAAAUGUCACCUCCAGUAAUGUAGCGCAAAGGAGUGGAACGAAGCAUGAAUGAGCGGUUGUCUGUUCUUCUCCAUGUACAUGGAUCAGUAGUAGAGGCCAAGUAUAUAAGUACUUGACCGAACUCCACACUCCACUCUUCGUGUACGGAGAGCCAUGUCACCUUCUCGCCGCUGCAGCAUGGGAGGACGGCUGGUUCACGUGACCCUCCAGCUGGGGGAUCCAUGGUGGCUGACCGUCGAGCUCGAGGCAGAGAAGUUGAGGGCAGUAGUGGCGAGAUCCAUGCCGGCCAACCGGGCGAAGAGGAGGUCGUCGGGGAGGGACACAUCGGCAAGAUCCGGUCACCACGCGACCUGAAGAGCAACAGUGAUCUCCACAAGCUGUAGGCCCACGGCGUGCUCCAUCCCCUGCGAUGGGGUGACCAUGGCGGUGGCCACAGCUCCUCAUGCUCGCCUCGAUCUUGGCGACACACCCUGAGUGUAGGAGGCAGCAACGACCUCGACAAAAUCAUGGCCUCCAUCCCGGAACGCAAUCAUGUCGCUCUAAAUAAAUGGAUUCAAUCAUGUGACUCUAAUUACUUCGGAUUGUUAUGUGCACACUAAGCGGGGUGCAGUUAGGAAAGAAAAUGUUCUCUAAUUAAAGUGAUUGAGUGAUUUAAGGUAAGGUUAAUUAAUUUAUAUUUGAUUUUUAGUGAUUGUUAGUAAAGUACGAUGCGUCUUUAAAAUCUUUUAUUUGUUUCCUUAAAAUAUAUUAUUUGUUUCCUAAAAAAAUUUGCAAUAAUGGAAGAUAUCGGUUGAUUUGGAUAAGUUAGUAAAUUUAAAUCCGUGAUUGCGUGCACGUUUGGAAAGUGCUGAUCUCCACAAGAUGUAGGCCGACGGCGUGCUCCAUCCCCUGCGAUGAGGUGACCAUGGCGGUGGCCACAACUCCUCAUGCUCGCCUCGAUCUCGGCGACACACCCUGAGUGUAGGAGGAAGCAACGACCUCGACGAAAUCAUGGCCUCCAUCCCGGAACGCAAUCAUGUCGCUCUAAAUAAAUGGAUUCAAUCAUGUGACUCUAAUUACUUCGGAUUGUUAUGUGCACACUAAGCGAGGUGCAGUUAGGAAAGAAAAUGUUUUCUAAUUAAAGUGAUUGAGUGAUUUAAGGUAAGGUUAAUUAAUUUAGAUUUGAUUUUUAGUGAUUAUUAGUAAAGUAUGAUGUGUCUUUAAAAUCUUUUAUUUGUUUCCUUAAAGUCUAUUAUUUGUUUCCUAAAGAAAUUUGCAAUAAUGAAAGGUAUCGGUUGAUUUGGAUAAGUUAGUAAAUUUAGAUCCGUGAUUGCGUGCACGUUUGGAAAGUCCUGAUUUGCAAGGAAAGAGCUGAGGGGUAAAUAAACCGGUGAAUAAGAAACCAUCAUCAAAAAAAAUCUACGACGGUUAACCUACGGAAAAAAACCGGACGAAAGUGGUGGGACGAAAAAAAACCUGGAAGCGAGACUACCAACUGCUCCAUUAGGAGUAGAGACUCCUAAUGUUUGAGUUGGUUGAAUAGUACCACGGUUUAUUUUCGUCCCACCACUUUCAACCGUUUUAUUUCGCUGGUUUUUUUUUCGUCCCGUCCCCGCACCCCUCCAACUAUAUUUUUCUCCUCUCAUUUAAACCUCAAAUUUCCACUAUCUAAAUAUUGAUGGCUUAUCAAGUUGUCCCCCUGCUCCAGUUAUGUACGUGAGGAAAUCCCACCGGCAUCGAUUUUUGAAUAGGCCGUGGUUUUUCGCAUGCUAGAUUUGGCUGGUAAUCGUAAUUUUCUCAUGCAAGUUUCCAUAUCUCCUUUAUUUUCUUUGAGACAAGAUCUCCUUCCCACCAAAAGACCCAAUCAGAACAAUAUCUUUCCUAACAAUAUCUAUUCUAAUAAAUGAUAAUCAAUCCGUGCCUUCACCCUCCCUGCCCGUUCAUCGUUACUCUCUUCCGAGCCAAUCAGGCCCAACUAGCACACCAAACAACACGAGGUACACAAACAGCCACAAAGCACGUGAGGUGGCGAGGUACGGUUUAUUUUCGUUCCACGACUUUCCUCUACUCCUAAUGUCUGAGUUGGUUGAAUAGUACCACGGCUUAUUUUUGUCCCACCACUUUCAACCGUUUUAUUUCGCUGUUUUUUUUCGUCCCCUCCAACUAGAUUUUUCUCCUCUCAUUAAAACCCCAAAUCUCCACUAUCUAAAUAUUGAUGGCUUAUCAAGUUGUCCUGCUGCUCAAGUUAUGUACGUGAGGAAAUCCCACGGGCAUCGAUUUUUUAAUAGGCCAUGAUUUUCGCAUACCAGCUUUGGCUGGUAAUCAUAAUUUUCUCAUGCAAAUUUCCAUAUGUCCUCCUUUAUUUUCUUUGAGAUGAGAUCACCUUCCCACCAAAUGACCCAAUCGGUACAAUAUCUUUCCUAACAAUUUCUUUUGUAAUAAAUGAUAAUCUAUCUGUGCCUUCACCCUCCAUGUUCGUUCAUCCUUCCUCUCUUCCGAGCCAAUCGGGCACAACUAGCACACCAAACAACACGAGGUACACAAACAGCCACAAGGCGUGUGAGGUGGCGAGGCACAAUUUAUUUUCGUCCCACCACUUUCGUCUUUACUCCUAAUGUCUGAGUUGGUUGAAUAGUACCACAUUUAUUUUCGUCCCACCACUUUCAACCGUUUUAUUUCGCUUGUUUUUUUCCGUCCCCUCCCCCCACCCCACCAACUAGAUUUUUCUCCUCUCAUUAAAACCCAAAAUCACCACUAUCUAAAUAUUGAUGGCUUAUCAAGUGUCUCCCUGCUCCAGUUAUGUACGUGAGGAAAUCCCACCAGCAUCGGUUUUUUAAUAGGCCGUGAUUUUCGCAUGCCAGCUUUGGCUGGUAAUAGUAAUUUUCUCAUGCAAGUUUCCAUAUCUCCUCCUUUAUUAUCUUUGAGAUUAGAUCAUCUUCCCACAAAAGGCACAAUCAGUACAAUAUAUUUCCUAACAAUAUCUUUUCUAAUAAAUAAUAAUCAAUCCGUGCCUUCACCCUCCCUGUUCGUUCAUCGUUCCUCUCUUCCGAGCCAAUCAGGCACAACAAGCACACCAAACAACACGAGGUACACAAAUAGCCACAAAGCGCGUGAGGUGGCGAGGCACAGUUUAUUUUCUUCCCACCACUUUUAUCUCUACUCCUAAUGUCUGAGUUGGUUGAAUAGUACCACGGUUUAUUUUUGUCGCACCACUUCCAACCAUUUUAUUUCGCUGUGUUUUUUGUCCCCUCGCCCCACCCCUCCAACUAGAUUUUUUCCCUCUCAUUAAAACCCCAAAUCUCCACUAUCUAAAUAUUGAUGGCUUAUCAAGUUGUCCCCCUUCUCCUGUUAUGUACGUGAGGAAAUUCCACCGGCAUCAUUUUUUAAUAGGCCGUGAUUUUUGCAUGCCAGCUUUGGCUGGUAAUCGUAAUUUUCUCAUGCAAGUUUCCAUAUCUCAUCCUUUAUUUUCUUUGAGAUGAGAUCACCUUCCCACCAAAAGAACCAAUCAAUACAAUAUCUUUCCUAACAAUAUCUUUUCUAAUAAAUGAUAAUCAAUCCGUGCCUUCACCCUCCCUGCUCGUUCAUCGUUCCUCUCUUCCAAGUCAAUCGGGCACAACUAGCACACCAAACAACACGAGGUACACAAACAGCCACAAAGCGCGUGAGGUGGGGAGGCAGGAUGGUCAGAGGGGCCAGUUCUGAGCGACGAGGCGCUGGGAGGCAUGGAGCAGAGGUUGGCAGACACAACAAGAAAUAUGUCAACUUGUGACCACCACUAUUGGUCACUAAAAGGUCAUGGUUUUUCAUUUGCGACUUUUUUGUGACCAAAAACAGAAGGUCAAAAGCUGGCAGUCGUAAACUGACUAUAGCGACCUUUCUUCUGGAAUGGUCAUAGACGUUUAUGACCAAAAUAUGUCCACUGUGGCGUUUUGGUCACUAGCAACCUCCCCAGGCCACGUAGGCAUCCAGCAUGGCAAGCUGAUGCGGCACAAGAAUCAGCCCAGUCCAUUUCGGUGCUUUAGAUGGGACGAUCUCAUUAAUUCAGCCUUUUUACUGUAUAUUUUUUCUGUGAAUUUUGUCUAGCUACAUGGGCCUGGCCCAACAAUUUGGCCCUUUUUAUAUUUUGGGCCAUGGCCUUUUUAGUUUUUCAGUAUAUAUUUUUCAAUCUGGUCCCACAAGUCAGAUGGGUCCCACUUGUCAUAUUCUCCUAUAUUAGUCCCACAUGUAAAAAAUGUGAGCAUUGUUUAGAUUAUUUUCACAAAUGGGCCCACUAAUCAGGUUUCCAUUUCACACGUCUUCAUAUCACACAAAUAAUCAAUAUUUUAAAUAGAACAUAAAAAAUGUAGAAUUUCUUAGGCCUGGAGCUCCUGUACAUAAUCUAUUACAAUCUGUGCAUAGUCUAUUACAACCCAGAUAUGCCUACUAUUACAGUACUAUAAUAUUUACAGUUUAUUACAGUCAAACAGAACAAAUCUUUGCUGCCAGGGCUACAUGCCGCUUCGAACUUGAAAUUUCCUAGGCCUGGAGCUCCUGUAAAAGGGUGAACACAAAGGCAUUAGAGUACCAUCUUCAUUACUGGAGUAGAUAUUCAAACCUCCAGGUUUAGUGUAUAGACAAUCUAGAAAAUAUAUAUUUAACAAAAUUUCACAGAAAUGCAGAUUUAUGGAUCGAAUGUAUGAUAAAGCAACAGAUUCAAACAACUUCAAAUUAAUGAGUAGAUGUUUUAGAGACCAAUUAUAGCAAAACACUAGAUGUUUCCAAUGCAUAUUCACAGAACCUUGGCAUACUCACAAAAUCUUAAAUCAAUCCUAAAUCAAUGUUGCCUACAAGAAACACUCGUCAAUCUCAUGUUUUGAAAAGCAACGUGGGUGAAACCAAGUCAAAAUAAGGAGCAUAACAAAUUCAUGUCAACAAAAAUUAGCUUGUGAUCCAUAACACAUUAUUUAUUCUUUACAAAGUAGAAUUUCAGUAGAUAUCAUUACCAGACACCAAAUAGAAAGUAACAUGUAUAGAAUGUGACAGCAUUUAGUUCACUUUAUUGUACAAGUUGGGUCCAGUUUACUCGGUUGGACAAGAUGCAUUUGUUAACUAUGAAGAGAAUGACACUAUUAUGCGAGAUAAUUGUUGUGUCGCUAACAAUCACCAUGUAAGAAUGUUUUGCUGUAGUAAUACAUGAACAUCAAGUGAGAGUGGUGUUCUGUUCUUACCACAGCGGCACAAGUGAGACGGUGCCUGAUUCACCCUGCUUGUCCACAAGACUCGACCAGUAGCACGCAUCCUCGAAGGAACCAGCGGUGCUGCUUGCUCCCUUGGCCCAGCUCCUUGCUGCGGAGGACGGCCAGGACUUGGACGCGGAGCUCACUUCACAUGACAUAUUGUGUCACUACUUGCAGCAACAGAAGGAGCUCACAUAUGCAAGUUUAAAAAAUGUAAUAGGACCGAUAUAUGUCUACGAAGCACUAGGCCAACUAGAGAUUCAUGUAUACAAUUUGCUAGAGAAGAAAAUAACAAGUCAGUUUGUAGCUAGCCUACCAGCAGUUGAACAACACUAAUAGAUUUGCAUUUGAUGCUGCCACUUAAUUUUAGGACAUGACAAGACAAAAAGCAUGGCAUCAACACGAGCAUCAACAACAUACUAACACCUAAAUUGAUACUAAAUUAAUGGAGUCCCAUCCAUCCAUGAGAAAAGAAAGUGCCUUUGGUUGAUAAAGAGAAGAGAAGACUACCUCUUGCUGGGAUCAAACCAGAGGAUACCAGCGCAUCCACCCAUGAGCAGGUUGUGUGGCUCGAGGUCAUGGUCCCGGACACCGCGUUCGUGGCAGAAAGCAACGCCAUUGCAGAGCUGGUACAUCAUGAUCUACAUGCACAAUAUCACCAAGUUCACCAACAACGAAUCAGUCAAGGAAGAAAGCAUCAAGUUAUCCAAAAAAAUAACAAAACCUAGUAAACCAACAUAACAGGGAAGUGUAUAUAUAUAGUGAAUGCAUGGUAGUCCAGUUACAAGGAUAAGCAAGUACAUUCAGUAAGCCGGACAUUGUUCGCAACGGAAGAUCGAGUCAACACUCAGGUUCAACUGAAGAUUGUCCACCAAAAAUGCAUGAAACGAUGAAUGUCGCCAAUCUGACAUAGAAACGGAUACAUUCAUUACUCACUUGUAAAUUCAAAAAUUCAGAAAAGAAAAAUUGUACGUAAUAAUUAAACUUGGUAAUAAAAAGUUUGCAUCUGAGUCAUCCUUCCAACAUGAAUCAGUAAGUCACGACAACAUAAAAAAUGUGCAGAUUCCAGUCAGCAGUGCGGAAAUGUUGUUGUUGUAUGAGACAGACAUGACAGGUGCAUCUCUGAACUUGUGCUGGUACCAAGUGGUUGAGUUUGAAAAUAAAAGCAGCCUUAAAUUUCCCACCAAUUAGCUGUUGAGUAGCAAACAAAAGUUGAAUAACUAUCCAGGAGCGAGUGGUUGACGAGUGUAUCACAGAAGCUGGUCAAUGCAAACAGCGUACACUUAACAGCAUACAGACUGUCGCUUCAUGGCUAUGACCAUGAUGCAUAUUGUCUUGAGCUCUGUUUCAGCGUUUUAUUAAAAAGAAAGAAAGAAAAUCGCCGGCCUGCUUGCUAGAACCCAAACCUUAGCAGCACGCGCAUAGGCACUAGUCCCAUGUCAGGUGUUGCUUAUACAAAGGAAAGGGUACAUUCAUUCAUUCAUCACUAGCUGUCCUGGUCCUGCCGCAAGAUAUGCAUCUACUCUACUCCAGGCGACAAUAACAGAUGAUAUCAUGGAUGUGCAGUAUAAAUGGAACUACAGUUAUAAACCAGUUAAUUUUGCUCUAGGAUCUACAGUCAAUUUUGCUCUAGGAUCUACAGUUGUUCUGAUACUAUGAAAUCCUACAGCAUUCACACUACGCGUCAACAUCUACUAUGUUGAGCAGUUCACACUAGACAGUCCAUAUAGGCUACAAUGCUGUAGGAUUUCAUAGAUCGACUGGCAUGGGUUGCAUUAAAAUCCAAAUGAAUCAUCAAAAAUUGACUCCAUAGAUGCCAGGUACGCCAUCACAGCUAGCAGUAAAUCAAGAAUCUGUGCUAGGUAAGGAAGGAUUGAGACCGGAGAACAUUACCAUCUGGAGAUCCCAGCUCGCAGACGUCGUAGAUGAUUGGACUCUCGAACCACAGGAUGAUGAUGUGAGCCUCCUCGGAGUAGACCUGCACGGAGCAGCGCCCAAAGGAAAAGGCCACCAGCAAAAAACAUCAAACAUGGAAGGAACCCACCAAAUCGCGCAAAAAACAGCAGGGAGCAAGCAAACCCAUCGCGUGAUUCACCGGCGGGAGAGGGCUACGGGUGAGCGUUUGAGGCCGGGAGAGGCCGAGAGGUCUCCGAGAUUCGCACCGUCACCGUCCUGGUGGCCGGAGACACGGCGUGCAGCGCUGCCACCGCAAACCCUAGGCAAGCCACGCGCGCGCCAUGGUCCGGCCAGCUCGACGGAGCGUCGCGCAUCGAAGCACGCACGCGCGCGCCGGCGAGCAAGCCAGCCGCGACGCUGUUGUCGCUGGGCGGCGGCGCUGUUGUCUCCGUUGCGUGAGGAGAGGAGGUUGCUUGGUCUGGGGGAGAAGGGGCGGCAGCGGGUUGAUGGAUCUGAAGGGAGGAGGAGAAGAGGAGGUGGCGGCGGUGAUGGAUCUGAUGGGAGGAGGAGACGGAGGAGAAGGGGCGGCAGCGGGCGGAUGGAUCUUAAGGGAGGAGGAGAAGAGGAGGUCAUUAUAUGUGACCAAGUUCCCAGGAAAAAUAACAAACUUGUAAUACGGCAAUUAUUAUAAAAAAGUGUUCUCAGAAACGAGCGAUCACAUGUGGAGAUCAAUGGCUUUCAAGCCAAAUGAUCAAUCUUAUGUCCAUAUUCAUGGCAUAGUUUGUUCAAGUGAUCUCAUAUUGUGCACAAGGGUGCAUAUUGGAAUGGCAAACAAUGUUGCCUAAGGAAGUUUUCAUUUUCUUUGGACGAAAAAACCAUUUUCCAUUUUUCGAGUGCCCAAAAGGAGGUUUUUUUGUGAAGGACCUCCCAAAUAAUUGUUGCAAAAUUGGGCCAAAACAUUUUUCUAAAAUACUAGGCCAUAUUUAAUGCACAAUUUACAAAAAUGGUUGGGUGGCAAAAGUUUUGAUCCACCUCUGGUGAAAAAGACAAAUUCCCGCCGAUUAAGUUGGAAGCGGGUCAAAUUUGAACUGCAGGUGCCUCAUAGUUUGCUAUUUAUUUUUUCCAAAAAUCAUUUCUAGGUACAUAAGUACCUAUUUAAUCAGAGAAACACCAAAAAAUCCAAGAUUCAACCACUAGAUAGGAACGGUCAUUCCCGCCGUUUUGACCGCAUUUUGAAACGGGCAUAAAAAUUCAAAAAAAUUCUAAAAAUUGGGAAACCUUCGCAUUGUGUCAUUAUAUGUGGCCAACUUCCUAGGAAAAAUAACAAACUUGUAAUACGGCAAUUAUUUUAAAAAAGUGUUCUCAGAAACGAGCUAUCACGUGUGGAGGUCAAUGCCUUUCAAGCCAAAUGAUCAAUCUUAUGGCCACAUUCAUGGCAUCGUUUGUUCAAAUGAUCUCAUAUUGUGCACAAGGGUGCAUAUUGGAAUGGAAAACAAUGUUGCCUAACAAAGUUUUCAUUUUCUUUGGACGAAAAAACCAUUUUCCAUUUUUUCGAGUGCCCAAAAGGAGGUAUUUUUGUGAAGGACCUCCCAAAUAAUUGUUGCAAAAUUGGACCAAAUCAUUUUUCUAAAAUACUAGGCCAUAUUUAAUGCACAAUUUACAAAAUGGUUUGGUGUCAAAAGUUUUGAUCCACCUCUGGUGAAAAAGACAAAUUCUCGCCGAUUCAGUUGGAAGCGGGUCAAAUUUGAACUGCAGGUGCCUCAUAGUUUGCUAUUUAUUUUUUCCAAAAAUCAUUUUUAGGUACAUAAGUACCUAUUUAAUCAGAGAAACACCAAAAAAAAUUCCAAGAUUCAACCACUAGAUAGGAACGGUCAUUCCCGCCGUUUUGACCGCAUUUUGAAACGGGCAUAAAAAAUUCAAAAAAAUUCAAAAAAUUGGGAAACCUUCGCAUUGUGUCAUUAUAUGUGGCCAAGUUCCUGGGAAAAAUAACAAACUAGUAAUACGGCAAUUAUUUUAAAAAAGUGUUCUAAAAAACGAGCUAUCACGUGUGGAGAUCAAUGGCUUUCAAGCCAAAUGAUCAAUCUUACAGCCACAUUCAUGGCAUCGUUUGUUCAAAUGAUCUCAUAUUGUGCACAAGGGUGCAUAUUGGAAUGGCAAACAAUGUUGCCUAAGAAAGUUUUCAUUUUCUUUGGACAAAAAAACCAUUUUCCAUUUUUUGAGUGCCCAAAAGGAGGUUUUUUUGUGAAGGACCUCCCAAAUAAUUGUUGCAAAAUUGGACCAAAUCAUUUUUCUAAAAUACUAGGCCAUAUUUAAUGCACAAUUUACAAAAUAGUUGGGUGUCAAAAGUUUUGAUCCACCUCUGGUGAAAAAGACAAAUUCCCGCCGAUUUACUUGGAAGCAGGUCAAAUUUGAACUGCAGGUGCCUCAUAGUUUGCUAUUUAUUUUUUUCCAAAAAUCAUUUCUAUGUACAUAAGUACCUAUUUAAUCAGAUAAACACCAAAAAAUUCCAAGAUUCAACCAGUAGAUAGGAACGGUCAUUCCCGCCGUUUUGACUGCAUUUUGAAACGGGCAUAAAAAAUCCAAAAAACUUCAAAAAAUUGGGAAACCUUCGCAUUGUGUCAUUAUAUGUGGCCAAGUUCAUAGGAAAAAUAACAAACUUGUAAUACGGCAACUAUUUUAAAAAAGUGUUCUCAGAAACGAGCUAUCACGUGUGGAGAUCAAUGGCUUUCAAGCCAAAUGAUCAAUCUUAUGGCCACAUUCAUGGCAUAGUUUGUUCAAAUGAUCUCAUAUUGUGCAUAAGGUUGCAUAUUGGAAUGGCAAACAAUGUUGCCUAAGGAAGUUUUCAUUUUCUUUGGACGAAAAAAACAUUUUCCAUUUUUCGAGUGCCCAAAAGGAGGUUUUUUUGUGAAGGACGUCCCAAAUAAUUGUUGCAAAAUUGGACCAAAUCAUUUUCUAAAAUACUAGGCCAUAUUUAAUGCACAAUUGACAAAAUGGUUGGGUGUAAAAAGUUUUGAUCCACCUCUGGUGAAAAAGACAAAUUUCCGCCGAUUCAGGUGGAAGCGGGUCAAAUUUGAACUGCAGCUGUCUCAUAGUUUGCUAUUUAUUUUUUCCAAAAAUCAUUUCUAGGUACAUAAGUACCUAUUUAAUCAUAAAUACAUGGUUUGGUGGCGAUACGUCGAGGUUUGGGCGGUGGCCGAGGGCCCCAACUCUAGAGCGCGUAAACUCGCAUGCCCGCCGCGUGACCGUGGCGUUGCCAUGUGUUCUGGGCGGCCUAGGCAUGUCUAGUGGGUUGGGCACUCCCCAGGUAGGUGCUAGGAAGAAAAUUACAACAUAAGAUUCUCAUGAGGAGACCGAUCGAUGCUCAAACAUGAAUUAGUAGCCAAGUGUUUGAUUAGCGGUACGGGAAAUGCACAUGGAUAAUGGGCAUGAGUUUUGGCUGAGGAUGAUCAGUUACUAAGAAGACCGUCUUCACAAAUUUUCAUCUCAAAAGGAGGAGCCUAGGUGGUAAUUGCUUUGCAAAGUACCACACUGGACAUAAAUACGAAUGUUGAAGCUGGGCUCAAAAUAAUGAAUGGAUUGAGCUGUCAUUUGGUGUAGGAUGGUUAUUUGGGAAUAGGAAAGCACUGUAGAAAAUGGAUACUAUUUGGACAUGCCAAACUGGUACUUCCUUCACAAAGUGCUGCUCUUAACAGAAUAGGAAAAAGAAAAUAUUGUUGAAUUAUUUUGGAACUAGGCAAGGAAGGUUUUUGACAUAUUUGAUGAAGAAUUUUUUGGGAAAUUUUGGGAAUAACAGAAAUAUAGGUUGCUUCACAACCUAGGGCAAAAACUGCCACAUGGACAUGACACAUAGGCAAAACUGAUGAGAUGGAGCCUAGUCAUCACAACCCACCACAAUCUAUAAGGCUAUGACCAUCUAUAUUGGUCGUUAACAACUAGAAAUAAGGCAGCGGACCAACACUGUUUGCUUUAUGACCAUUUCGUGUAAGGACAUUAUGACCUUUCUGACCAAAAUGGUCGCAAUGGUUUAGUGUUUGGAGCCCCCCGAACAGCUUUUGACCAAUUAGUCUCAAAUGGUCAUAGAUCUAUGACCAAUUCUUCCAGGGUCACUGACAGAAGGUCACUAGUUGACAUAUUUCUUGUAGUGUAUAAUUUUAGUGUUGUAGAUAUUGAUACUAUUUCAUAUAAAUAUGGCCAAAUUUUACGAAGUUUGACUUGAGACAAAUCUUAUAUGCGGAGUAAAAUGAUCGAUUUGUUGAUGUGAUCUAUGAUGCUUCGUUCCAUUGAUGGGAUAUUGUUUUAGAGUUUCAUUCCCUUCACACUCCCACGAGUCCUUUUACUCCUCAUAUAUGAUUUGUAACUACGUAAAGUUUGACCAACUUUAUAGAAAAAAAAAUCAUCAUUCACAAUACAAAAUCAAUAUCAUAGGUUGUGUCAUGGAUUUAAUUUUCAUAUCGUAUAACUUUAGUAUUGUUGAUAUUGUUAUUCUUUUCAUGUAAAUAUGGUCAAACUUUUUGUAGUUUGACUUUAGACAAAUCUUAUAUGCGGAGUAAAAUAGACCGGAGGGAGGACUUCAAAUAUAUGUACAAAAAUUGACACCUCAGUUCAAAGAACUAAUACCUAGCAAUUGACCUAUUUGGACGAAUCACUUCAUAAGAUCGAAGGCAAGAGACCCAUGGAGCACCAUCGGCCUCGACGGCAGUUUCCCCACCAGCGAGGGUGGUGGCAUACAAUCCACCGCCCUGGACUCAUGGAUGCCUUCCACCAUCAGGCUCUCGAACGACUAGUGCUCGGUGCGGCUACAGAGCAGAAGCAUGCAGUGAUGCUAUGAUGUGUGGCCCGCGACUCCGACAAGGUUUCUUUCUCCUAUACAGCCCCGGCCGACGCAUCGGCCACCAACAACAGAGGUGGCGAACGAUACAGCUCGGCUUCUCUGGCGAAAGCAAGCUGUGACAACUUCCUUCUUCCCUGGUGAGGCCCUCCUGCGGCGUAGCCACCAAUGGCGAAGGUGGUGCACGGGUCCUCGCGACCAACGACAAUGGCGUCCCAUCUCUGGCUGCUCCGGGCCCGGGCGCAAGCGGCGCGAUGACACCCUCCACUACGGCCCUGCUUGUGACGGCGGCGGCUGCACUAGGUGGACCUCCAGCGAAGAGCAAUGGUGGCGUCCCACAUGGCUACCCGUAGCCAUGAGUCCCGGUUGUAUAUCGGCCAUGGCCGGCGCCCUCCACUAGGGCAUGUGUAGAUGUUCAAGUGUGAAUUGGGGACAAAAGUUGGUUAUGCCGAGAGGGCUUACUGGAAAUGCACCAUAGGGGGAUAGGGAGAGAUUUGAUGAGAAAAGAAUAAGUAUGCAUAAGAACCUUAAAGGUAGUUAAACACAAUAGUUGUUGAACCUAUAAUAUGUACGCACGGUUGCAGCGCACGGGUAAUUACCUAGUAUUGUCUUAAAAGGAAUGUGCUAUCCCUGGAUGGUUGCUGCACCACACUCCAGGGCCUUAUUUGGUACAGAUUGGAGGAUGAUCUGCCCCCCACAUUUUCGAUCCAACGACACGUAUUCGAGUUUCCAGGUUUCCAGUGAAUGUCAGUUUUAGUCAUAUAGAUUCUCCGUCGUUUCCAUUGACUGAGCUGGCUCCCGUGUGUUGAGGGCUUUCUACACUUGCAGAAGUUCUCUAGAUCAAAACGCAAACAAAAGUUGACACUAAUUCGACAACACUGUUGUGUGAAGUGGACACAUCACAUGGAUUAGGUUAGCUAGAGUCCUUGUGAUAGCAAAUAGAACCAUAAAUAAAUGGGCAUUUUGGGCUAAAUGCUUAGCCAUGAGUGUCCGACCUUGUUCGGGCAAAAAACGACCGGUUGAGAGUGAUCCAUCGGUUCCUCGAGUAAUGCAUUACCUUCAGUGAAGUUACCAUUUUAAGCCAAAGGUACAGCCACGAGCCUGCUUGACUCGUUCGCACAAACUAGGCAAAAAAGGCACGUUCCAUCGGUCCACCUGACCUGCAGCCUGACUUUCGGUGGUGGAGAGUGGAGGCUGUGUGUGAGUUUGGUACCCAAACCCAAAUGAAUGGCGCGUGAAGUGAUGGAGGGUGCUAGAAAUUGAAGAGGGGACUGCACGCACCAUGUUGGUUCAGAUUUGGGGAGGAGGAAACUUGGUGGAAGUUGCAGCAUCAAGCUCACAUCGCAUCGCAUGUCAUCAAGCUUAGUGCAGGUUAACACACGCGCACACAGACACGAUUUUCGCGGCUGCUGUCGUCGUCGAGGAACUGAACCGUACCGUACCGGGGGCAUGCAGUUUCCCGGAAGUUGCUAGGAUGGCAAUGCAUGUAUAAAACGGCCCCCGGCCACUCUCUCACACCACUUACGUAGCUAGGGUGUCGCCCCGUGUCUCCAAGCUGAGGCCGCCGUCUCUGCUUCGGUCGUCUGCAACUACCAACUUGGAGGAACGGCGGCAAACCCACCAGCCGCCGGCACGGCGCACCGGAGGCCCUGCGCGCGCGGUUGCAGCCAGGUACAUUAUUCAUCCGGUCUCUGUCCAGACUUAUUAGUACAGUGCGUGCUAGCUGGAGUAAUAUGGAUAUAUACGUGCCUGCAAACCAGAGAGGAACUUCUUCAUUUAACUUGUAGUAGUUGAUCUGAUUGCUAGCGGAUUAUAUAUGUAGCUUAGUUACCUUGGGCAGUUAACUUUUUUAAAAAAAAAUUGCGGGCUGGGCUGUUAAUUUGUUGCACGGAUACAUGCUGGCUACCUACUUAAUUUGUGGUAGAAUAGUUUGUUGCAUUGCAGUAGGUGAGAUGAUUGGCUCUGCAUACGCAUCUAUUACUAUUUUUGGUCAUCGAUACAGAAAGAAAAACAAAUAAGUAUCUCUCUGGCUUUACAGUGUGUUUUAAAGAAGAAGAAAAACAAUUAAUAAAUAAACACAUGGAGGAGCAUAUAUGAUAUAUCUGGCUUUACCAUGCAUCCAUGUACAUUAUGUAUUACUGGAUGGAACAAGUAAUUUACAGUAUGUAGUGCUCCCUCCGUUCACAAAUACAAGGUGUUCUAACUUUUUUUCUGAAUCGGAUUUAUAUAAUGUUUUGGUGUGUUUGUUCACUCAUUUCAGUCCAUAUUGGAAUAUCCACAACAUCUUAAAUUCGUGAAUGGAGGGACUAUUAAAUAAACACAUUGACUUUUGCCGUGAUUUCAGUUUCCUACAUUGGGCAAGUGUGAUAGCUUCUCACUGACACAAUGGAACAAGUAGAGAUUUGGGCGCCCAUCUUUGCUGAUCCUCUCCCAAGCCAGGUAUAUAUAUUUACUUUGUUGAUCGAUCAGCUCACAUAUUAAUGCUAGACACCAUGCAUGACUAGUUGGAUGCUUGGUUUCAUUUCUAUCAAAAUGGAGCUGGCCUGCAUUUCUAAAAUAAAAACCCACAAGUUAUGUAAGAAGAGUACAAGCACAACCAAAAUAAUCAAUAAAAAGUAUUAAAGCAUAUUCCCUGGUUUAGCCAACUUUCAUUUUAACUGGAUCUGGAUGUAAUAUAUCAAUGUCGACUAGCAUAGUUCAUAUAUGGUCCACGUUCUUUAGCUCUUAUUAAAUCUUGGAUAUAGAAUUCGCAAGGGGCUCAUCGAAAUCCUAGCACAAAAUUAACAUAUGUUUCAUUGCUCCGAUGACAGGCGGAGAUUGAAGUUUACUCAAUAUCCCUGGAUUAUGACACCACGGACUACCAAGCAUUCUUAGAAGGACCCCAAGAUGAACAUGAUUUGGACAGAUUGCUGAAAUGUAUGAUGCUUAAUUGUUGCGUCCGUUCCAAACUCCAGUACACAAGCAAGAAAUUUAUCCAUGGUCCGACUUUGAAACCAAUUAACGUAUGAAGCUUUCCUUGCAGGUGCAUUCAAUCCUACUUAUAUAAAGGAGGCAAAUUUAACUCAUGAGGCAAGAUUUUCGCACAUGCAAAAGUACAAACUUGCUAAUAAAUGAACAUGGCAAAUGGUACUGAAAAUAUGUAUCAUCAUUGCAGAUUGAAUGCGGAUUUUAUUCACCAACUAGUUAUCAUGGCAUGACAAUACAAACACUUGGACCUGCUCCACCGGAGGCGCUGCCUGAGAAAGAGGAGGCCCUUGGCGGCGGCGCUGNNNNNNNNNNNNNNNNNNNNNNNNNNNNNNNNNNNNNNNNNNNNNNNNNNNNNNNNNNNNNNNNNNNNNNNNNNNNNNNNNNNNNNNNNNNNNNNNNNNNNNNNNNNNNNNNNNNNNNNNNNNNNNNNNNNNNNNNNNNNNNNNNNNNNNNNNNNNNNNNNNNNNNNNNNNNNNNNNNNNNNNNNNNNNNNNNNNNNNNNNNNNNNNNNNNNNNNNNNNNNNNNNNNNNNNNNNNNNNNNNNNNNNNNNNNNNNNNNNNNNNNNNNNNNNNNNNNNNNNNNNNNNNNNNNNNNNNNNNNNNNNNNNNNNNNNNNNNNGAGGAGGAGGAGGAGGAGGAGGAGGAGGAGAUGAGAGAGGGAGGAGCGUCCAGGUACCCGCCGCCUUGUCAUCGAAGAAGCAGGAGGCUUGCACCCACCGCCACACUGCUGGAGGAGGGGGCCUGCCAUCUACUAGGUAUGAAUUAUAUAGGAUCCAUUCGUUGCAAUAUACAACUUGUCAUUGUCUCAAGUAGUUAAAUACAUAUGCUAUGAGCUUCAGAUUACAUGCCAAAAAGUGGUUGGAAGCACGGGAGUCGCAAGAGAAGUGCACGCAAGAGAGGAACAUGGUCGAUAAACAUGGAACCAUGCUCCCGGGACUUCUGCUCUGCAAGUGAAGGCCACAAACAUGGGGGCAGAAGAAACAACAACCAUUGGAAACCUGAAGAGGUGAAAGAGCUAGUGGAUGGUGUAUCUGUAUAUGGGGUUGGACAUUGGACUAAAUUGAAGAAUGAAAGGUUUCCGUUAUCAGUUCGAACGGCAGAGCAUCUUAAGGUAUAGUCAAUUGGUGAUUUAUUGCACCCUAAAGCACAUGCAUCUAUAGAUAUUAUAUCUGUUCAUUACUUUGUUGUUUCUCACAUUUUUCUCUGUUAAUAUUUUAUUUAUCUAUAUUUUUUAUUGCAAAAUAUGACAAUUUUUAUGUUUUGUUUAAUCCUUCAGGAUAAAUGGAGAAAUCUGUUGAAAGCCUACACGGUCAGGCCCACAUCUGAAAAGAAGGUUUUAUUCCAUAAGUAUGCUGAAUUCAUUAUGGAACACCACUGAUUUUCAUAUCUUUCAUUUCUUAAAUUCCAGGGAAAUAUGAAAAGAAGGAUCUCGCCUCCUCUAGAUAAGGAUUGUGUCAAAAAGAUCCAGAGGCUAGCAGCUGAUUACCCUCGAAAAUGAAGCUGCACUACUGACUGCUACAAGACAUCGUAUAGUACUUUUGGUGUAGCAGUGACCCCAGCAACAAGUGUUCUAUUAUUUUUCUAGAGCUGCGAAGCAUAGGCUGCCAUAUUAAGUGUGUCGAGAGUUGAGAGUAGAUUGAGCCAUCUGGAGGGAGCAGCUUCUAUCUCCUGCCUAACUACCUAGACAGACUAGUGAAGCACUCUCUAUUAAUGUAAUGGGGAGGUCUCUAGAUAAGGUACACAGGUCAUCGCAUGAUGCCCUGUUCCUGCAAAAGAUGUUCAACCCAAACUAACUAAGCACUAAACUAUUGAAGGUGACUUUAUAGACGCAUUCAGCAGUUAAUAACUAACAGAAAUACAGAACAUUAUUUCUCAUGUAAUGCCCAAAGUGGUGUAAACUUUCUGGAUUGGCUAAUUGUUCAUUGGACUCUGACGAACAAGAUCGCAAUUCCGAAAACACCAGUUUUACUAUGUUAAGUUACGAACCAUGUACAGUAUUGAAUCAAAAGUGCAAAUUAGACAGGUACUAUACCGCAUUUGAAGGGGAUGGCCAGCAGUGGAUAGCAGCUCCAGCAUGAAGAGCUCGAAAUAUCGGUCCUUACGAGAACGCGGUUCCUGCAGAACCAAAAGAAGAGAACAGUAAGUAUUUGCUAGAAGCAUCAUUGAAUACUGGUAAUGAAUGUUCACGAUUACUGUAGUGUACUUGGAUCAAAAAGAACAUUCUGAGGUAGUAAUAGAUUGAACUGAGGGAGCAGAUUAUCGCAUAUUCACAUGCCGUUCAAUUGGAUGCUGACCACAUAGAUCUAGUCUUUUUUGGUAUUAAAGAAAAAUAAAGUACUAGUUUCUUCUUGUUACAAGACCUUUUUUCAAUCCUCACUGGAAACGCUCAGAAUAAGCAUGAAGGAAAGCUCACGUGUUCAUAGGGGUUUCUUCUUGUUUGAUGUAGUCACAGCAUUGGCAGAGGAUAUCCUCAGAAAAUUCCAAAGCAAUCACAGAUUAGUAUGCCCCAGAGCUUGCAAACUUCCUUAAAAACAAGCCACAAAACAUGAAUAUUAUCUUGACAUGAAAGAGUGGCGAUCAUUUUUUGUUGCAACACAAAAACAUAUCUAAAUUACUACACAUCUAACCUAACAAAAAAUUCUAUGAACUACAUAUCUAAAUUACUACACAUCUAACCUAACAAAAAAAAUCUAUGAACUACAAAAAGAAUCUAAAAAAAUCUAAAAAAAAUAAAAAAACGCUCACGUCGGCGUCGAGGCGGCGCGGUGCAGGGGCGACGACGGGCUCGGGGCGGCGCGGGGCAGGGGCGACGAGGACANNNNNNNNNNNNNNNNNNNNNNNNNNNNNNNNNNNNNNNNNNNNNNNNNNNNNNNNNNNNNNNNNNNNNNNNNNNNNNNNNNNNNNNNNNNNNNNNNNNNNNNNNNNNNNNNNNNNNNNNNNNNNNNNNNNNNNNNNNNNNNNNNNNNNNNNNNNNNNNNNNNNNNNNNNNNNNNNNNNNNNNNNNNNNNNNNNNNNNNNNNNNNNNNNNNNNNNNNNNNNNNNNNNNNNNNNNNNNNNNNNNNNNNNNNNNNNNNNNNNNNNNNNNNNNNNNNNNNNNNNNNNNNNNNNNNNNNNNNNNNNNNNNNNNNNNNNNNNNNNNNNNNNNNNNNNNNNNNNNNNNNNNNNNNNNNNNNNNNNNNNNNNNNNNNNNNNNNNNNNNNNNNNNNNNNNNNNNNNNNNNNNNNNNNNNNNNNNNNNNNNNNNNNNNNNNNNNNNNNNNNNNNNNNNNNNNNNNNNNNNNNNNNNNNNNNNNNNNNNNNNNNNNNNNNNNNNNNNNNNNNNNNNNNNNNNNNNNNNNNNNNNNNNNNNNNNNNNNNNNNNNNNNNNNNNNNNNNNNNNNNNNNNNNNNNNNNNNNNNNNNNNNNNNNNNNNNNNNNNGGCGACGACGGCGGGCUCGGGGCGGCGACGGGGAAUGCGGGCUCGGGGCGGCGCGGGGCGGGCUCGGCGGCGACGGCGACGAGGAGCAGAGGCUCGGGGCGAGAAAGAGAUGGGAUUUGGCGAAAACUGCUAAGUCCAGUAUAUAUAGCAAGAGCAUUGGUCCCGGUUGGUGGCUGCAACCGGGACUAAUGACACCUUUAGUCCCGGUUGGAGCCACCAACCGGGACCAAAGGCCUCUUUUCAGCAGCCCAAAGGGCGGGAAACGAAGACCUUUGGUCCCGGUUGGAGACUAAAGGGUGGGCAUUGGUCCCGGUUGGAGACUAAAGGGUGGGCAUUGGUCCCGGUUGGAGCGACCAGCCGGGACCAAAAACAGCAUUGGUGCCGGUUGGUGCCAUGAACAGGUACCAAUGGACUUGUGUAACUACUUUUUUAUUUUCUGCAGCUAUUUUUUUGUUGAUUCUUCCUGCAGCUGUUUUUUUAGUCCCACCUCGCCAAGCGAGAGGCACUCGCAGCUGUUUAUAAGCCCUGAGUGCAGAUACGAUGACGAAGAGGCUCAAUGCUCCUGCACGUUGGUUAGCUUCAAGCCUUGCGGAAUACGGUAGACUGCAGAGAGCUAUGUGCAGUGCAGUUGACACUAUUCCAAAAGGCUUGAAGCAAAUUAGCGAGCAUUGCGCCUCUUUUUUAUUUUAAUGACUUAUUACAACUCAGAAAUAAAAAGAAAAAUAUAAAUGUAGCAGAAAAGAAAAAAAACUAUAUAAAAACCACUCAGAAAUAAAUAGAAGAAAAAAUAAUUUUAUUAACUUUACUAAAAAAAUAACAUAGAUCAGAUCUGUUCUGACCGUUGCAGCCGGCGAUGGUGGUCAUCUCUUCUGUCAGAGGUGGUCGCCCUGAGGCUGGGUGUUCGGAUCUCGGGAUCCGUCAUCUGACACCAGCUGCGAGUCGGGAAGACGUAGUUGCCGGUGAAAACCGAGCUGACGGCGGGCGAUGGCGGCGUUCCAUGUCGUUACCAUGAUGAAGGCAUCAUCGUGUGACUACCGCGUUGACCCACUCGUAUUGCUCCGGGGAAAACCCUAGGAUCUCGUGUGACUAUUUUUAAUGAUUUAUUACAACUCAGAAAUAAAAAUAAAAAAAUAAAUGUAGUAGAAAAGAAAAAAAUAUAAAAAACCACUCAAAAAUAAAUAGAAGAAAAAAUAUAACAGAAAAGAAAAAAAAUAGAAAACUACUCAGAAAUGAAUAGAAGCAAAAAAUAGUUGUGAUUAACUGUACAAAAAAAGGAGCAUAUAUGCUUAUUUUUAAUGGCUUAUUACAACUCAGAAAUNNNNNNNNNNNNNNNNNNNNNNNNNNNNNNNNNNNNNNNNNNNNNNNNNNNNNNNNNNNNNNNNNNNNNNNNNNNNNNNNNNNNNNNNNNNNNNNNNNNNNNNNNNNNNNNNNNNNNNNNNNNNNNNNNNNNNNNNNNNNNNNNNNNNNNNNNNNNNNNNNNNNNNNNNNNNNNNNNNNNNNNNNNNNNNNNNNNNNNNNNNNNNNNNNNNNNNNNNNNNNNNNNNNNNNNNNNNNNNNNNNNNNNNNNNNNNNNNNNNNNNNNNNNNNNNNNNNNNNNNNNNNNNNNNNNNNNNNNNNNNNNNNNNNNNNNNNNNNNNNNNNNNNNNNNNNNNNNNNNNNNNNNNNACUAAAAAAGGAGCAUAUAUGCUUAUUUUUAAUGGCUUAUUACAACUCAGAAAUAAAAAGAAAAAAAUAAAUAUAGCAGAAAAAGAAAAAAAACUACUCAGAAAUGAGCAGAGAUGCGCUUAUAGAGGAAAUUCAACUUAAAUUCAUAACGAAUUUCAAGAGAAAUCCGUAUGAAUUUAUGCUAAAUUCCCUAUAUAAGGGCAUAUAUUUUUCAUUUUCAGAGGAGCUCAAUAAGGUAGAGAGGGAGGGGCUUAUAAACCGGUCUGAUUCCCCUUCGGUUGGCGAGGUGGGACUAAACUCUGGUCGCAACGGGGACCAACCCUUUAGUCCCGAUUGAUGGCUCGAACCGGGACUAAAGGGCAGCCUUUGGUCCCGGUUCAAGCCACCAACCGGGACCAAUGGUGUUGGGCCAGGAGCGAGGCCCAUUGGUCCUGGUUCGUCCCACCAACCGGGACCAAAAGGUCCAGACGAACCGGGACCAAUGGCCCACGUGGCCCGGCCGGCCCCCGGGGCUCAAGAACCGGGUCCAAUGCCCCCAUUGGUCCCGGUUCUGGAUUGAACCGGGACUAAUGGGCUGGACCGGCCUGGACCAUUGCCCCCUUUUCUACUAGUGAUUUACCUUGGUUGGUGAGAUUUUUGAGUUGAGCCCUAUAAACCGAAAAGGAGGGAAUAGAGCCUAAUACAUUUUUCGAGGUAACCUUUGACCAUGUGUUAGAACAAUAAUAUAUGGCGUGCAUGUUACACAAAGCAUAUCAUCAAAUUUGUAUGUGAAAGGAGUUUCUAAUAUCAUAUAAUUUUUAUAUCAUACAUCCCAUAUGCUAAUAAUUUUAUCAAUGGUUAAAGUCUACCCAACAAAACUUAUUAGGCCAUAUAUAUCUCUCUGCGUGUGUGCACGCGUGUGUGUAUAUCUAUGUAUAUAAGAAAUACAUCUUCAAAUACAAGUUGGGGGCUAUGCAUCUCCCAUGAAUGCACUUAAUUGUUUUGUCUCCCAACUGCAUUUUAUUGUUGGGGUCUAUACUUUUUUUCUCUAACUUACCAGAAACUUGCAACUGACACAAAGUUACUAAAAGAGCACUUUAAAUCGUUCAUUCUGAAUAACAUCAGGCAUAACACAUUAUAUUCAAUUAUUAUAGAAUAACCAUUUACAAUAUUUGACAAAACGUAUGAAUUAUUAGCUUGCUUUCUUACCAUUUUUCUUUAGUUGGUUGUAUCUUGUCUGGGUUUUAUUACGAGCUAAAAAUUUAGGAAAUGUUAUAUGGCUGACAUUCACUUUGAAUGUUUUCCCAGCGAACUACCUGAGAACCGUUGGAUUUGGAGGCACGCAUCUUAACGCAUAGUGCCUGCCACCUAAGCGUCCAGCAGUCAUUCGCUCUAGACAAAAACCAGUGAACGACGCGACGUUACUCACCUACUUGCUCCCCUCUUCCUCAUUUAGCUUUUCAUUCACACCGAGAGAGUGAGAGAUGGCAGAGAGGAGAGAGAGUACCCCGGCGAUCUGGUCGCUGUCUCGCCGACGACUUAACUCGGCGACUACACCUUUUGCCCCUGGUCGACAGUGCUGCCGUCCCUGCACCCCCAGUGACCUCGUUUCUAGCGACUUCCAUUAUUCUGCGCCCGGCAAUCCCCGUUCCUGUCUUUUGCGACACUAGGAGUCUUCUGUGCGCAGUGUGCUCAUCGACACCGGCCACACCGUGGCGACCACAUCUGCAUCCACUUCCCCAGCACUCAACCUCCUGGCAGAUGCAUGGAUCGACGAGCCGUGCCACGGCGGCCGCAUCUGCGUCUGUGGCUCUCUGCCAAUACCUGCACACUCCUUCACAAGCAAGAGCUCGGCCCCUCAAAGACGUGCUCCUCGGUAAUUCAUACAUAUCAUGGCUUUUUUUUUCAUUGUACGGCACUUUUCUUUGUUGAGCUUACUAUGGCAUUGUUUACAUUCAUGGCAAAUUAUUUUAUAUAGACCAUGGCAGUUUAUUAUAACAUACCAUGGCAAUUUUUAUAUGUAUCUUGCCAUGGCAAUUUUGUUUCAGUGGUGAAAAAUAUUUGUGUACAUCGCAUUUUCAUUUCACAAACCAUGGCAUUUUUAAUAUGCAGCCGCGAUAGCAUUUUUUGGUCAGAUUUUGUAUUUUCUUUGUUCAUUUGAUUUGCUGCAGCAAGUUUAAUAUGCAUAUACCAUGUAAGAGUAUAUUUUUUAACCAUGGCAUUUCUGUAAAACUAAGAUGACAUUUUUCAUAAUCUUUGUGUACUUAGAAACAUGGCAUUGCUCCCUCAAAAACAUGGCAAUUGUUUUAUGAUAUCAUGGAAUUUUCCAUUCAUGUUUAUGCCAUGGCAUGUUUAUUAUUAAGAUCAUGGCAUUUUUAUAUUGUUUAAGAGCAUGGCACUUUAUUAAGAGCAUGUGAAAAUUUUCAUCUAUAGCAUGAUAAUUAUUCAUUGGCAUGACUUUUUUUAUUUUUGAAAAUACAAGCAUGGCUUUUAAAAAUAAUUUCUGCAUCAUGGCAUUUUUAUUUUUAAUGUCAUGGAGUUUUCCUUAUAUCGAUCAUGGCAAUUUCAUAUAUUUUAUCUUUUCUAAAAUUUUCCAUGUAUGAUUCCCAGACAAUGGCACUUUUAGCUAAAAUACUGUUUUGUCUUCACUUUGGCAAACUAGCACUUUUUGAUAUACAUAUCAGGAAAAACACAUAUCUUUUUAUGCGUUCUUUUGGAAUAAAAAACAGAGGAUCGCAUUUUUUAUAUUUGCAUCAUGGCGGUUUCUUUGAAUUUUUUUUUUCUUCUUCUCUGGGACGAUAGGCCUACUACCUUUUAUAAGGGCUAUAUAACCUGGGCCAUUUUUCACCUUUGUUUUCCUCCUGCACAUGACGCUUCAUUAGCGACAGAUUACGUUGGGUUUGCAUCUCGGGGGUUUGCGCUUGGGAGGAUCCUGCAGUGAACCUUUUCACUGACCGGUUCCUAGCCUACUUAGCGAUCAAACCGUUCUUUGCACCACUUCCCCAGGGGGGACGUUCCCAGAUAUUAGGGUCGUUAUACUAUUGUCCUACUCCAAUCCCCAUCCUCACAUCAUUGUUCCCUUUGACUCCUCGGGUAGUUUCUAUGGGGAGAGGUGUUUAAAUUUAAUUUCGAACAGUGAGCGGGGCUUUAAUUUUACAUGUUUUGCCUCAAAUUUUGGACCGAAAUAUGGGCUGCUGAAAUGGGCCUUGGGCCUUGGCUAGUAAUAACGGGGCCAGUUUUCAAGCCCGGGCAUAGUCUACCAUCUUAGCGUUACUCAAAAGAAAAAGUCUACCAUCUUAGCAUAAAAUCUGUUGAAAAUAACAGGAGCAGCAUUUGUACUGGCAAAUUAAGUGUGCGCACUCAGUGUGGCAACGGGAGCAACUCUUAGGGAGAGACAUACUGUGUAGUGUGGCCGCUCUGAAAUGCCCCUCGUGAGAGAAGCUGCAUCAAUCUGAGGAUCUGGAGGACCCUCUGAAGAUGUCUCACACACUCUCUUAGCUUAGCGUUGCUGAUUCUUCAGCUUUUCCCAUCUGUAACAUAUCCAUCCAUCAGCUGGCUUGGUGAAAGCCGUCAUGCCGUGGCAAAACAACCGAGUCCAAUUACAUGCUGCAGUAGGGUUGGGUUUAUCAUCAGUCCCGUUACAGUAGUUUCGCCAUGUGUCCAACUUCACUUACCCAGGUCCAUCGUCAACGUCUGAUACAGUUGAGAAGAAGAAGAAAAAAACAAAUUGCAGAUAAACAGCCACAGUUGUCGAUUGACUGGAACUGUUACUUUCAUUGUCAUGUUCAGUUAGGCAGGGAACAACAACAUCGAUGUACGGUAACCGGGGCUAUAAGUAGCAUGAAAACAAGAACAACGUACACAUGGCCACAGCCAAGUGAAUUCUGUAGAUUGUCACGCGUCAUCUUGUCAGAAAGGGGAUCACAUCUAUCUGUGAGCUAUGAAACCACCAGUGCUUUGAGCUCCCAAAGCUCAUCUCAUGUCAACACCCAGUUCUUACUUCUUAGGCAGGGCAGCAGUACCUUCCACGUUACAGUAACCAAACAAAAACAAUAGACAUAGCCACUGCCAGGUGAAAUUCUGUGGAUUGGCAUGCGCCAUAUUGUCAGAAAGGCGGUCACCUCUGUGAGAACUCCACGCUACCGGUCGCUUUGAACUUGGAACGCUGAUUUGACAAAGACUACAUCAAAUCUGGGCAAACAAGACAAAAAGCUCAGACAACAUAGAAGGUUUCCCGCCAAUCUGUGCACAUUUAAGAGUUUAUGAGCUUGAAGGAACAAAACAGUAAUAGCACAGGGAAGAGGCAGAAUACUAGUGUUACAUUGGUAAUAUUCAUCACAGCUGAAUUUGAAACAUGUUAAUGCAAAGACUCAACUUUAUUGUGUUUAGCACUGUAAUCUGCACUACAAGUUGAAACACAUAGCCAUAUUGGCCCAAACAUACACAAACUAGCCCUGAAAACUUAGCCUUGUAGAAUUGGCACAUUCGUGUUGCAGGAGUUCAUAUUCUACCAAGGCACCUAGCAGUAUAACAAACCUCUAACUAAAGAUACAAAAAAAAAA